GUAGGGGUGGUGCAUGCCGUGGGACCUUUUGUAUUUUGCCUGCAUGUAUUCCUAUAUUUUGAGACACUUAGUUUUUUUUUUAUCCAGACUCCAAAGGAGUUGGUUCAUUUUUAUUACCAUGUAAGAACGCAAAACAAUAUUCUAGAGGUGGCCCAAACCUUACUUCAGUAGACAAUGAACAUUAAACAAGGAGUACUUACUCCUUUACAACUUGUGUCCUGAAAUUGGGAAACGAUAUUGAAUCCAAAGCUACAAUGGCUUUAACCGCAGUUGGAAGCUCUUGAGGUGAAUUGAAAACUCGCUGUGAUCCCAGGUUCAAGCCGGCUAAUUUAUCCGCUGCACCGUUCGCCUUUUGAGGCACUUAGUUGCCUAUAUCCUGUAUUUGAUAUAUUUGGCUUGUUUUGUGAUCUCCCGACUCGUAUUAUGACUUUUGGUAUAUGUAAAGAAUCAUGUUUUAAUUCUAAAUGUUUUUGCAACUUGCAUACGCAUUAAGUUCUUUUAUGCCUAAUUAUUCCUUUUCUUAUGUCUAUAGACUUAUAUUAAGUAUAGCUCGGCGACGACGAGGAAAGGGUCGUGAGCAUUGGUUUAGGCAGCCCCGCACUCCUGAGAAAGAUGAGGGAUCACGGAAAGAAAAAUUGAUGGAUGGUCUUAUGUAAUUCAAUGGGAUCCUAGUGUUGGAUAUGAAUCGGAAAUGAAUGAGAAGAUUAGACCUACCUGUAUUAUAAUGAAUUGACCUAGUUGGGUACCUAAUGAGGUUCUCCCCUGUGAAAUUUUAAUAAUUGUUCUACACGUACCUUGUGAUUGAUCCUGUGGACAUGUUUUAACCUUUUAUGAACGUUUGAACUCCCAAAGUAUUGCAUUGGUUAUUCGUGAGGUGACUUGAACUCAAUUCCUAUUUGUUUUAAUUGAAUAAAAGUAUUUUUAAAUUUUGCUUGACCAUUACUAUAUAUAUCCACUUACCUGUUGUCCUUUUCUCACAAAUAUUUAUAUAUACGUACAUACAUUUUGAACCCGUAUGAGAAUCGAAAAUCAGGCAGAGUUUAGGUUAGGAUCUUUUCUAAGGACUAAGAAUGAAUAUUUGUUGUGAAUUGGAGAGUGAGGAUGACCGAGCUUUAUGUACCUUUAGAGUUAGCUCUUGGAUUAGAUGUGAAGGGUGGUAAAGGUGUUGGAUCGAAGUUUAUGCAUAUAUGAACCUGCAUGUUUAGUUAUCUUUCUUAAAAGCAUUUUCCAAAAUAUACGUUUCACUCAAACGCAGCUCUUAACUCGAGACUUUGAGGGAAUUUUUGAAACAUCUAUGUUAUUAUAUUAUAUAUGUGUUUUAAUGUGUGUUUUAAUAUCCAUGCGUUGAGUCGCAUGAUUAAUCUUCUUAAAUGUAUUUGAGGAAUUUGAAAUAUGUAUUGAUAACUGUGGCAAAAACAUUAUUUGAAAUUUCAUACUAAGAAAAUUUAAUUCCGUAACAUGAAGAAAAGUUUGUAUCUUUAACUCUAAUUUUGAGAUUUUGAAUUACAUUCUGCCACAUACAUAUCUAAAACACAUUAAAGCCCUCAAUUAUAUCUCGCAUGUUAUGAUUGACUUGAUUUGGACAAAAAUUUGGUUGGUCGUUUGGGACGAAAGAAACCCGGUCAUUACUAAAAUUGUUGAUUUUGAAAAUCGAAUGCCAGUAAAUGGUUUUGGACAAAUUGAGUCCAAAAAAUUUGGUAAGGCUAGUCUUCUGUUGGAAAUAUAUCUUUCUAUUCAAGUUUUGAACUACAAGAUUGAAUCAUUUAACUAGAGUUUUAAUUGACCUUGGAGCCAACUAUUCUUGUGUAAACCCUAGUUUCAUGAAUGGUUUAAAUAAAGUAUGAUCGCUUGCCCUAUGACUUGGAAGUUAGGACUCCUACGGGGAAUCGGUGUUUAAUUGUUAGUGCAAAUUAUAGAAAGAGUGAAUUUUUGGCAGAUCUAGUGGACCUAACAAAUAAGGGGUAUAAUGUGAUAUUAGGGAUGGAUUGGCUAGCUAGAUGUGAAAAGUAAGCUGGCAUCGUCUGCUCUUGUAUCAGGAAUCCAAGCUAGAAAAUAUAUGCAUACGGAAACAUGAGGAUAUUUAGUUUUUCUUAUAAAUACAUCCGGGGAUAAGAUGAAAUUGAAAAACGUACCAGUGGUGAAAGAUCCAUUAGGAGAGCAAUGUACGUUUUAUUUGAAAGAGGAUUCUGUGACUCCCCCACUUCUCCCUAAGGCGAACCAAAGGGUAUCCGCGGAACGCCUGCCUAGCUUUUGCCAGGACUCAAGACAAUUCGAUUCAAUCUUAAUACAAUACCAGCCAUCACGACAAGAUAAAGUAAAAAAGUGCGAAAACUUUCAAGCUUAACAAUAUAUAACAAUUAAUACAAGCAUACCAAAAAGAAGUCGCUUCCAUAACCGACUGCCCAAGUCUUACACCACCAGUUCAAAAUACAGUGAUUAUUCAAUUCUUACAUCGGAUUUUCCAAAAUACACAUCAAAUCCCAAAAUAUAUGACAGCCAAAAUAUUUAGCCAAUUGCAUUCGAAACCCUAAAACAAAAGUACAUCCCAUGGUUUCUUCGAGUCUUACUCCAAGUCCAAACCUGUUAAGGAAAACAAAUCUACAGGGUGAGCAAUCACUCGUGAGGCCAAGAACACACAUGCAGGCACGUUGUCCAAAUGUCAGUGAAAUGUAAACAAAAACAAUUCAAGGAUAUGGUAGCUCUCAAGAGCUAAUUUCCACUUGCUUUGCAAAUUUCAUUCGUAUAUCUUCCCGUGAUGACUCUGUCAACCGGGUUGAUAUUUUCAAUCCGUAGAACUCUACUUACUUCUCAUGUCCGUCCACCUUACAACCCCCCACCGGGCCCGAACGACGAUUAAGGCGCUACUGCACGAGUAGGCCAAGCAAGAUCUCUUCAAUAGAUCAAGCUUAUCAUGUUAUUCUCAUGGCUCACCGAGAUUCCCGACUAAACCCAUGCCGGCUCGAGUCCCAAGGUCGGCCUAUGAGUUUGGGCGUCCCCCAUGUACAUUUGAGAGUCGAGGAGAUUCACUCCAACGACGUAUGCAGCCAUAGCAUACAAUUUCAUUUCAUUUAAGCAUUUAAUCAUUUCAUUCAAUCAUUCAUUUCAUUCAAUAUAUUUCAUUCCAUUCAUUUCAAAUGAGAACGAGUGCGGUAAAGUACACACUCAACUCCAUUUUCAAAAUCUCCAAUCAUUUAUAACAGUUAAUCAUGUAUCAAGUAUUCGUACACUUGACACUCACCAAGUAAACAAAGAAGUAAUGCCCUUUUGAGGGUUUAAGCGUCCAUCGUAGGAUCCUCUUCAAGGUCCUCUUGUGUGCCUGAGCAAUUAAUAAUGAACUAUCACUUAUAAACCCCAAUUAUCACGGAAGAUUGCACACAUGUACAAUCUAGAAAAUAUCGCGAGGACGAGCCUAAAUUUUCUUGUAAAUCGAGGCUUAAAAGUGGGGUUCAACAAUCGUAAGAAAAAUCUAAUCUUUAUCGUUAAAAUCAUUGGAUGGAAACAAGUAAGUAUGAAAUCAUGUAAAUCAAUUUUCAAACGAUCGAUCGAAGACAAACUGAAGCGUGACAGGUCACAAUCCGGCCGGAUUCGAGGCAGUGAGGGAUCCAAAAAUUUUUUCAAUUUCCACCACCAAUCCGGCCAACUAUCCGGCCAAGAACUUGCCGGAUAUACGGCCGGAUUCUUUGAAAAUGUUGCCGUGCGAAAAUUUUACAAAAGGGCCAAGAAUUAUCGAAUUUAGGGGCAUUCUUUGAAAAAUUAUAACUCACUCUCUGAAAGUCCAAAAUUGGAAAAUUUGGUACCGUUGGAAACUACUUCCAAAGAACUAAAAGUUUCUAGAAAACACUUUUCCAUGAUUCCAAAUGGAUUACAUUCAAAAUGCGGCUCAAAGUGGCUGUUUUGGAAUGCCAAGACAGAUUUGGGUUGAUUUUCGGCAAAGUUUGGAAAUUUCGAAAAAUUCACACAAUGCGAACUAAUCUAUGAAAUUUGGAACUCAAUUAGAGUUACAAUCAAAGUUUUCAACACAAUAAGCGGAACGAGAAUUGGAGUUUUGAGCACCAAGAUAUAGUGGUUCAAAGUUACUGAAAUUUCCUCCAUAAACAGGGGUUUUCCAGGUUUAAAGCUUGAGCUUUGGUACUUUAGUUGAGCAUCUAAAUGAACUUGGAAUGGCACCAAAGUUAGUAUAAUUAAACUACCAUCUAAGGGCUAUUCCUCUGUAAAUUUUCAUGCAAAAACUCACACGGAAAGUUCAGUUAACCAAACCAUGGAAGUUCCAAGAAUUUCCAAGGCAAAUCUGCCUUGUACUUUAGUUUUCCUUUUCUCAAACAUUUGGCCAAUGAAAAUUCCUCGAACACGAUUCAUUCAAGAGGAAAAAGUCUAGGAAACAUCCAAAAUACGUUUGAUAGGUGAUUAACACCAAGGAUUUUGAAUAACAAGUCCCAAAUCAAGAUUUGCUAUAGAUCAGUUCAGAAUUAGGGUUUUCUUUCACAAAGACAGUUCUGAAAUUCGGCCACAUCUCACUCAAUUCAACUCAGAAUUGAGAGUGAUUAGUAACGUUGAAAACUACAUUCAUAAGGCUACAAUUUCUUAGAAGGAAUCAUUUUAAAAUUCUGUCCACAACUAGCUCAUAUUUGAGCAUCAAUGCGCGGCUCAGAACAGGACUUCCAGUACAGACGAGAAACAGAACAGGCAAAUUUACAAGGUUGGUACGGCUCACUCAGGUGGAAUUAGGGCAUGAAGUUUAUACCAUUGGAAAACUGGAAAUGUCUAGUUUGUAGUGCCACAAACGGAACUCGAUUUCGACAUUGGAGUAAAGAGUUGUGGCCGAAACAAAAUCACUGCCAGAGAGGCUCUGGUUACAUUUCCAGUUUUGCUACAUUUUCGAAAUCUCAACUUUUGGCCAACCAAAUUCAAUGAUUUUUUUUGGAAACUUUACACACAACCCACACAACAUAUUUACAUCAAAAUCAAGUCAAUUGGACAACAAACAUUUGCACCAACAGGUGCGGCAAAGCAGGGGUGGAAUCGGCAUUUUUUUCCAUUUCACUCCCUUCGAGUUUUCUACCAUAAUACAACUUAUUUCCACUAGAUUAAACACUAAUCCAGCAUAAAUAACACCCAAUAUCAUCAAAUCAGCUCAUCAAGUCCAUUGUGGGAUAUCAUAGAGCCCACUCACAAGAUUUCCAAGAAUAUAGAGCUACCCACAUGCAUCUAUAAGCUUACAAGUGCAUUAUAACUUAUAUAAACCAAGAUUCAAGAGGUUGAUCAUGUUUUACCUCCUUAGAUGACUAAAGCAGAAAUUUUCGGUCCAAUGAAGCUCAAUAAAACCUUGCAAAUGAAGCCCCUUUCCUAACUUAGGAUGAUCACCAAGUGAUUUGCAAGUUGUGGUAAAAUUUUGAGAUGAUUUGGACAAGAAAUGAGUGAGUUAUUGAAGAGGUUUUGGCUUCCUCUUCCUCUUCUUGGAUGGCCGGCUGUUUGAGUGAAGAGAGAGAGAGUUGUGCUGAAAAUGAAGCUUUCUUGAGAAGCUUAAAUGUGUGGUUCAAAAGUCUUCAAAAGUCAACUCUCCCUCCGCGCGUGCACGCGUGCGUUUCGUGCUCGAUUCCUCUCGAGUUUGUUUCAUUAUUGCACUAAACCUCUAAUGCACUUCCAUUCAUACUAUUAUUAUUCAUUCUUAAUAGUCCCAAAAUAAAGGUUUUAAGUCUCUGCAUUAAUCGCGGACGCGAAAACGCGUACUUCCGAUUUGUGCGCGAUAAAGUGGAAUUUCCAAGAAAUUAUUAUAACGAUAGUAUUACUAACCAAUACUUGAGUACUUAAACAUAAAAAUACCUAUUUUAAGACUAACGUAUGAGUCUUCAAUCUCCAAGCUCAUUGUAUUCUCGAAUCGUUUAUUGUCUACAAACGCGUAUUCACUAUUCUCACUAAACGAGCUUCCAAAAAAUUAAAUUUUGAAGCAAGUCAUUUUUAAAAAUAUGUGCAAGUCAUAGUUCCAUGUAAUUGAGCCUAAAAAAAAUUGAAAUAAAUUAUUCGGAGCAAAUGGACAAUUAAAUAUUUAAAUAAGCUAGUAGUAGGAAUUUAAAAAAAGUAAAUUUACGAGUUCUCACACGAGUCUAAUAUUAAUUUUCUCAAGUCUCCAAUUUGUCGUGCGGUACGACUUUCGAGAAAUUAUCGACGUACGCGUAAUGAAAACUUUAUUUAAAUUAAUCACAUCUAAUCUCUCAAUUAACUCUUCUUAGUCCACUAUUGCUCAUCCUUAAUUCUCCAAGGUAAUUACACUCUCGAAUCGAAGUUUAUCUUCAAAAACGUAUACUCGUUAUUCCUUACUAAACGAGUUUUCGAAAAAUAAAUUUUUUCUAACGAAACGUUUUAAAACACAAGGACGGCAUUGUUCCAUACAAAUGGACUGAAAAUGGUUGAAAUAAAUUAUUAGGGAUAAACGGGUAAAUAAAUAAUUAAUUAAGCCAGUAAAAAUAAGAUUAAAAUAAGUAAAAUUUCGGCUCCUCACAUCCUUCCCUCCUUAAAAGGAAUUUCGUCCUCGAAAUUCACAUUUAGGACAAUAUCACUCCUUUAAUGGUUAAGCCUACCAGAUCAAUCACUAACUUACGUUUUCCAACCCAUACUUCUCAAUUUCUAUUCAUCCCACUAACAAUCAAACCUUGAUUUACCCCAAUAAGCAUUUCAACUUCCAAGUCAUAUGGCAACUUAAUCAGUUUUAUGUCUACCUCAUAUAGGCAAUGUCUUCACUUCUUUAAUACAAAUAUUAUAGCCACUAACUCCAAAUCAUGAGUUGUCUACUUUCUCUCGUGAUAUUUAACUUUCUAAAGGCAUAUACCAUCAUCUUAUCAUGUAUUAUUAAUAUACGUUCUAAACCAUCCUUUGAAGCAUCUGUAUAAAUCACAAAGCUACUUUCUCCGCUCAGUAAGGCUAACACAGGUGCAUCGGUUUAACAUUUUUUUUUUAUAUGAGGACCCGAAUUUUUACUUAUUUUAAUGGCUUAAUUAAUUAUUUAUCCACCCGUUUUCUCCGAAUAAUUUAUUUCAAUCAUUUUAAAUUCAUUUGUAUGGAAUAAUUUCUCCUUUAUGUUUUAAAAAUGUUUUGUUAGAAAAAUUUAUUUUUCGAAGGCUCGUUCGAUAAGAAAUAGCGAAGACACGUUUGUCGAGACUAUAUUUGAAUUAAGAGUGCAAUAAUCUUGGAGAUUUGAAGACUCAUACAUUAGUCUUAAAAUAGGUAUUUUUAUGCCUAAGUACUCACGUAUUAGUUAGUUAUACUAUCGUUAUAAGAAUUUCUUGGAAGUUUCGCCGUAACGCGUGCAAAUCGAAAGUUCGCGUAUAUCGAACCGGAGCGGUUAAUUGGAAAUUUGAGAAAUUUAUUCUAGACUAUUAAGAGUGGAUAAUUAUAAUGUUUAAAAAAGUGCAUUAGAGGUUUAGUGCACAAGUGAAACAAACUCGAGCGGAAUCGGGCACGAAACGCGCGCGACCGCGCACUAUUCCUAGUUGACUUUUGAAACAUUUUUGGCCACACACUUAAGCUUCUCAAGGAAGCUUCAUUUUCAGCAAACACACUGAGUUUGUUUGGGCAACAAGAAUUUGGAAUAAAAAUUUCAGAUUUUGUUUUGCUUGCAUCAUACACACAAUUCUCAAUCACCUUUUUAUCUCACAUUCAUCACAUCACAAAAAGUACUACAGUAACUGAAUCAAAUAAAUCAUCCAAAUAAAUUCUUAUCCAAACAAACUCACUCUCUCUCUUCACUCAUAGCAGCCGGCCACCCAUAGGAGGAAGAAGGAACCAAAGCUCUUCCAUUUCUUGCUCCAUUUCUUACCCAAAUCAUCUCAAAAUUUUACUACAACUUGCAAACCACUUGGAGAUCAACUUAAGCUAGGAAAGGAGCUUGUUUUUCACGGUUUUCUUGAGCUUCAAAGGACCGAAAAUUUUUGGUUUUAUCAUCUAAAGAGUUAACAAAUGAUCAAGCCCUUGAAUCUUAGUUUAUGUAAGUUGAUUUGCACUUGUAAGCUUAUAGAUGCAUGUGGGUAGCUUUAUAUUGUUGAAAAUCUUGUGUGUGGGCUCUAUGAAAUCCCACAAUGGCUUGAUGAACUGAUUUACUGAGAUGUGAUGUUAUUUAUGUUGGAUUAGUGCUUAAUCUAGUGAAAAUAAGUUGUGUUGUGAAAGAAAACUCAAAGGAAGUGAGAUGAGCAAAAGUGUCGAUUCUGCCCCUGUUUUGCCGUGACCAUUAGUGCAUUUUUUUUGUGGUUCAAUUGACUUGAUUUUGAUGUAAAUAUGUUGUGUGGGUUGUGUGAAAAGUUUUCACCAAAAAUCAUCCAAAUUGGUUGGCCAAAAGUUGAGAUUUCGAAAAUGUAGCAAAACUAGAAACGUAACCAGAGCCUCUCUGGUAGUGAUUUUGUUUGGGCCAUAACUCUUUGCUCCAGUGUGAAAAUCGAGUGCUGUUUGUGGCAUUAGAAACUAGAUACUUCCAGUUUUCCAACAGUAUAAAAUGUAUGCCCUGAUUCCACCUGAGUGAGCCGUACCAACCUUGUAAAGUUGCCUGUUCUGUUUCUCGUCUGUACUGGAAGCCCUGUUUUGAGCUGCGAAUUGAUGCUCAAAUAUGAGCUAGUUGUGGAUAGAAUUUUAAAACGAUUCAUUCUAAGAAAUUGUAGCCUUAUGAAUGUAGUUUUCAACACCAUGAACCACGCUCAAUUCCAAGUUGAAUUGAGUAAGUUAUGGCUGGAUUUCAGAGCUGUCUUCGUUAAUUCUGGACUGAUUUAUAGCUAAUCUUGAUUUGGGAGUUGUUAUUUCGAAACUCUUGGUGUUAAUCACCUAUCAAACACAUUUUGAAUGUUUCUUAGACAUUUUCUUCAUAAUUGGACCAUGUUUGAAAAGAUUUCAUUGGCUUAAUGUUUGAGAAAAGGGAGACGAAUGCACAAGGCAGUUUUGCCUUGGAAAUUCUUGGAAGUUUAAUGAUUUUGUUAACCGACUCCCUGUGCGAAUUUUUGUAUGAAAUUUGGCAGAGGAAUAGUCCUCAUAUGGUAGGAUAAUAAUACCAAAUUUGGUACCAUUCGAAGUCCAUUUCGAUGUUCAACCAAAGUCUUAAAUUUCCCAUUUUUAAUCUGGAAAACCCUUGGUUAGUGAGAAAAUCUCAGUAACUUUGAGCCGCUAUACCUUGGUGCUCAAAACUCCAAUUCUUGUUUUGCUUGUUUUGUUUUAAACUUUGAUUGUAACUCUAAUUGAGUUCCAAAUUCCAGAGGCUAGUUCGUAUUGUGUGAAUUUUGCUGAAUUUCCAAACUUUGUCAAAAAUCAACCCAAAACUGUCUUGGUAUUCCAAAACAGCCUCUUGGACCCAAAAAUUGAAUGUCUUCCAUUUGAAAUUAUGGAAAAGUACCUUCUAGGAACUUUUAAUAGUUUGGAUGUAGUUUCCAACGGUACCAAGUUUUCUAAUUUUGGACUUUCAGAGAGUGAGUUAUGAUUUUUCAAAGAAUGCCCUAAAUUCGAUAAUUCUUGGCCAGAUAGUUAGCCGGAUUGGUGGUGAAAAUUUAAAAAAUUUUGGAUCCUCACUGGCUUGAAUCUGGCCAACAAUCCGGCCGGAUUGUGACGUGGCUUCUACAGUCCAUCUUCGAUCGUUCGUUUGAAAAAAUGAUUUAUACCUACUUGUUUCCGUCCAACGAUUUCAAAGAUGAAAGUUGGAUUUUUCUUGUAUAUUUAAACCCCACUUUUGAAUCUCGAUUUAUAAGAAAUUAAGAUUCAUUUUCGUGACGUUUUCUUAGAUUGCACAAGAGUGCAAUCUUCCUUGAUAAUUAGGGGUUUUAAGUGAUAGCGUGUAAUAGACAACUAUUGUUUGCUCAGGUGCUCAAGGAGACCUUCAAGAGGAUCUCGAGGGGAACACCUAAAGGCUUAUUUACGCACUUACUCUCCUGUUUCAAUUGGUGAGUGUCAAGUGCAUGAAUAUUUGGAAAUUAUGUGAAUUGCUCAUUAUGAAAUGGAUGGGUUAUAACUGCUGAGUCGAGUGUGUACUUUAUCGAAUGCGUUCUCAAUAAAAUGAAUUGAAAUUGAAUUGCCUGAAUUGAAUUGCAUUAUAUGCUAUGGCUGUAUAUGUCGUUGGAGUGAAUCUCGUCGAUUCAUAAUUGAACUGUAUGACUGCCGAUUGGAGUGCGCUCAUCGGCCUAUAACGGUAUUUGUCGAUUGGACUGAAUGUCAUCAACCCUUACAAUUAUAAUUGUAUAAUCGGGUCUCUGAGCGAUAGCAUGUACCACACCGAUUCGGGUGGGAGGUACCUCUCAUGUCGGCUCAAAACCCUAAAUAAAUGAUCGGUUCUCUGAGCGAUAGCAUGUAUCACACCGAUUCGGGUGGGAGGUACCUCUCAUGUCGUCUCAAAACCAUAAACCAUGCAAAGUCGAUUGGAGCGAUGUCUCAUCGACUAUUGGGCGAUAGUAUGUACCACACCGAUUUGGGUGGGAGGUACCUCUUAUUCGAUUCAAAACUAUAAGCAAAGCAAAAGUCGAUUAGAGCGAUGUCUCAUCGACCACUGAGCGAUAAUAUGUACCACACCGAUUCGGGUGGGAGGUACCUCUCAUCGACUCAGAACCAUAAACGUAUAAUCGACCACUGAGCGAUAGUUUGUACCACACCGAUUCGGGUGGGAGGUACCUCUCAUUCGACUCAGAAUCAUAAAUGGAAUAAGUAAUGUUCUAUGGACUUUUGGAUUGAACUUUGGCAAAGCAAGUGGAAAUGAGCUCCUAAGAGCUCCCGUAUCCUUCUUGAAUGUGUUUUGUGAAUAUUCAGGAAUUGCUUGAAUGUUACAGCUUUAUCUCUCCUACCAGCAUUAUUGCUACUUGAAUUACCUGCUUGUAUGAUUUUUCUUGGCCUCACUGAGCAUCGGCUCAUCCCAUUAGUUUUGUUUUCCUUAACAGGAGCCAAAAUGGAGGGAAUUAUGGAGAGGUCGACUUGAUGGCCCUUUCGAUUAGAAUUAUGAAUGUAUUAGUUUAGACCAAUUUUGAAAGUUGUAUAUUUUGGAAAUGUAAGAUAUUUGGGUAGCUUAUGAUAUAAGACUUGAACGAUUAUUAAGGACUUGACCUUCCUUUAUAUCUUCGUCUUUUAGUAUCGAUUGUUUAUUCGAAAGUUUGAAUUGAAUUGUACCGAGUCCUGGCGAGAGUUGGGCAGGCGUCCCGCGGAUACCCUUGGGUUCGCCCUUGGGAGAAGUGGGGGCGUCACAUUUUCACUUUCAAAAUUCUUUCUCACAUUUAAAAUCCCAAAAACUUGCCAAGUCUUGCACUCUUAGAAAAUUCCUUAAUAAACCAAAGGUAAUAUUCGACUAACUCUAAGAACUCCAAAUUUUGGUAGGAUUUUCUGAUCGUUUUCUCUUAAAUAGCUUCCACUUUUUAGCCGAGUCAAUAACAAUUCCUUUCCUUAGAUAUUGUAUAACCUAGAAAGGCUAUUUCUCCCAGUCGAACUCACAAUUAUUGAACUUAACCAAAGCUGGCGCCCUUUCAAAGUUUGUAGAACUAUCAUUAGGUGUUUUUCAUGCUAUUCUCAAACAUUAGAGUAUACUGAUAUAUAUCAAUAAAUGCCACCACAGAUUAAUCCAAAUACGGUUUAAACUCCAAUGCAUUAGGUCCAUAAAUGCUACUAGUGCAUUAGUCAACCCGAAGGGCGUACUGAAAAUUCAAAGUGUCCAUGUCUUAAAUUGAAAGCAGUCUUAACCACAUCAGUUUCUAGGAUCCUCAUAUGGUAAUAGCUCUACUUUAAAUCCAAUUUGGAUACUAUCACGGUUCCUUACAGUUGAUCGAAUUCUUAUCCAUGUAAAACAAAAGGUAGUUGUUCUUAAUGGUCACAUUGUUCCAGUCUCGAUAGUCUAUGUAUAGCCUCAACUCCCAUCCCAAUUAUUAGAUCCGGUACCUUAAUCGUUAGGCUCAUUAAAUCUAUUAAAUGUUUUCUUUCACUAACCCAAAUCUCAAAAUUUUAAUAUAUCAAAUUGGCAAUCAAACAUUGGAUCCCAACUUCAAUCCUAAGUUCUCGAUUUUUGGUCCCGAUCCCUGGUCACCUCCAAGGCCUCAGGGUUGCUUAUAUUCUCAAGUAUGAUCUCGAUCAUGUCUACUAUCAUUCAUGUUUCAUUAUAAAACUAAAAGUGUGGGGCAAGGUUUAAAUAUACAUGCAAGUCAUAAAAUUAAUUUUCAUAUGUCAUAAAGAUCAUCAUAAUUACAUCCAGUUGGAAGAAAUUUAUCAAAAGAAAAAAUGGGAAACAACAAGAUUAUAGCAAAAUGUGCCAAGUUGCCAAGAUACAAAAUAACAAAAGACUUUUCCUUAUGCAAAAGAUUGAGUCUCCAGAAAUGCCAGUCUAGUUUAGGGUAAAACUAUAACCUCUAUCUCUCGAGUGAAGUUAAACCUCCACUAGGUCCUCUUCACAGCCAUUAGUAUUAAUUACUCUCAUCUGGCAUUCGAUUGUUUUGAAGCAAAUCUAAUUGGCUACUGAGUAUUUCUUCCUUUUAUUAGGGGCACUGGGGCAACUUGAAAUCUGAUGUUCGGUGCUGCCACAGUACAAGCACUUUUCCGAUUUCUUCCAACAUUCAUUCUCCGUGUGGUUGGACUUACCACAAUAUCCACAAGUCGCACGAGAAGUCAUGGCCUGACCAGCUUGAGAAGUUUCUUUGUAUUUUGUUUCUAGUUCUACGUUCUUAUAUAGCAACUCAAUUUUCUCAGCAUAUUCUUGUUUCCACCGUCCUUCCCAGUAGUCAGCCAAUUUCUUUUGAAACUCUACCUCUUUUCGAAGAAGGUCCACUUCCUUAUGCAUCUCUCUCAAAUUUGUCAUCCUACCGGUUGGUUCAAGUCAAAUGCUAGCCUGCCAGGUAAAUCAAAAGAUCAAAUAAGUAGCUAUUCAUAAUGGAAGCUCGAGCCAUAAUACUCUUUCAUUCUUUUGCUUACAGGUUACCUCAGAAUACAAAUCUUAACUAUUCUCUGCUUAAUAUGGGCGAGCUCUUAAGUCUCCACGAGAUUACUAUCAGUAAUUACAAACGCAAAAAGGUAAGGGGACCUUAUUCCUUAAUAUAAAAAUUCCAUGUCUUAGUUCACUCUUCAAUACUUAUCUACAAGGUCAUUCGAGAAGAAAUCAUAACCUCUUGUUCUCACUAGUGCCUUAUUGUAUCCUCUCAAAUCAAUCUUACUAUUUCGGGGUUAGAUUUUCCGUGAGCUUAGUUGGACGAGCAUCAAGAAUUGUUCAAUUCCUCACACCUUUCUUGGUUCUUAGGUUGGUUGAUUGGUUUACAGAUUUGGUGCUCAACCAACUGUGCUAGGACAUCAAUCGUAUGAUCAAUAGCAGUAGCUAAGCGAUUGUUUUCCUUCAUUUGUAGGGUUUCGGUUCGGUCCAAUAGUCGCUCCCUAAUCAUCCCCUUGAGCUUGGGGUUGUUUAACCCCUCGUCUUCAGUCAUUUUUAACUUUUUCGGCCGCUCAUGAAUUUAACAUUCACAAAGGCAUGACAUAAAAUGAGUGUGUAUAAACGAAACUUAAAAAGCGACACUUUGAUCAUGUAAAAUGAAAAUAAAAUGGAAGAUACCGGAAUAGUCACAGAUGUGUACAACCCAAUCAUAGAUUUGAAGUCAUAAAGCAAUAAAGUCAAGCAUCUCAUGAGUAACGUUUAAUUGCUUCAAAAAGGUAGGAAACAUAGUGAAACAAAAUACAAAAUGCAAUGGCCUCUCAGCGAGCACCACCCCGUCUAUCUUUGGCAAAAGCUAUUAAAGUAGUUUAAAUCACUAGCUUAGUGAUUGGCGGAGCCAAAUGUCUCUACUACCUCCGUAGGAUCAAUUUCAUUUCCAGCACUAGAAGUUUUAAUCUCAUGUCCCUUAUCGAGUAUCUUAUCAUUCUCCACUUGUUCAACCAAGGUAACACACCCAACCAUCGACUUAUCCGUCCGGUCCCUAAUUCCGUAUACUACCCUUGCAAGUCGGUUCUCAACUUUUUUGAAGCUGUUCACUAGGAGCCUUUGUGUCUUCCUCGCUCCUUAAGUUCCUCAGUCUCCACUUCAGAAAUUCUAAUAGUCUGGGCAUCGGCAAUUGCCCUCGGUCCUCGAUUAUCCCCUUGAACUACCCUAAUUUCCUCGGAUAGCCACUUCCGAUGAUCGGCCACUAUUAACACCCCAUUAUUUGGGCACGAGCAAGUCAUUUGGAAAUCACAUAAAGUCCUAGUUCGGCGAGUUGGGUUAUACCUCCAACGAGCUCUCCUAGGCCCUUCACGACCAUGGUGACCGUAAUGCGUCCCCGAGACGGUUCAAUGCCACCGUUACCUUCCGUAACUUAUAAUUAAAUUUAAAAGCUUAAAUGGGACCAAAUAUACUAAAUAAACAGGAUUUAAUCAUCUCGUAUUCUCUUACAAGAUCGAGACUCCCAAUUGUCCAUUAAUUCAAACCUAGGUUCUAAUUUUUAUCCCCACAAGCAGUCACCUAACUUACCAACCAGUUCCACAGUCCGGCAUCCUAAACUUUUAAGCCUAGGAUACUCUACAAAGAUCUAAAGCCUAAGCUCUGAUACCAACUGUGACGCCCCCACUUCUCCCUAAGGCGAACCAAAGGAUAUCCACGGAACGCCUGCCCAACUCUCGCCAGGACUCAAGGCAAUUCGAUUCAAUCUUAAUACAAUACCAGCCAUCACGACAAGAUAAAGUAAGAAAGUACGGAAACUUUCAAGCUUAAAAAUAUAUAACAAUUAAUACAAGCCUACCAAAGUGAAGUCGCUUCCAUAACUGACUGCCCAAGUCUUACACCACCAGUUCAAAAUACAGUGAUUAUCCAAUUUUUACAUCGGAUUUCCCAAAAUACACAUCAAAUCCCAAAAUAUACGACAGCCAAAAUAUCUAGCCAAUUGCAUUCGAAACCCUAAAACAAAAGUACGUCCCAUGAUUUCUUCGAGUCUUACUCCAAGUCCAAACCAGUUAAGGAAAACAAAUCUACGGGGUGAGCAAUCGCUCGUGAGGCCAAGAACACACAUGCAGGCACGUUGUCCAAAUAGCAAACCCAAUGAAUAAGUGAAACAAUAACAUUCGAGUAAUUAACAAUUCAGUGAAAUGUAAACAGAAACAAUUCAAGGAUAUGGUAGCUCUCAGGAGCUAAUUUCCACUUGCUUUGCAAAUUUCAUUCGUAUAUCUUUCCGUGAUGACUCUCCAUCAACCGAGUCGAUAUUUCCAAUCCGUAGAACUCCACUUACUUCUCUUGUCCGUCUACCUUACAACCCCUCACCGGGCACGAAUGACGAUUAAGGCAUUACUGCACGAGUAGGCCAAGCAAGAUCUCUUCAAUAGAUCAAGCUUAUCAUGUUAUUCUCAUGGCUCAACGAGGUUCCCGACCAAGCCUACGCCGGCUCGAGUCCCAAGGUCGGCCUAUGAGUUUGGGCAUCCUUCAUGUAAGAGUCGAGGAGAUUCACUCCAACGACCUAUGCAGCCAUAGCAUACAAUUUCAUUUCAUUCAAGCAUUUAAUGAUUUCAUUCAAUAUAUUUCAUUCCAUUCAUUUCAAACGAGAACGAGUGCGGUAAAGUACACACUCGACUCCAUUUUCAAAAUCUCUAAUCAUUUAUAAUAGUUAAGCAUGUAUCAAGUACUCAUACACUUGAAACUCACCAAGUAAACAAAGAAGUAAUGCCCUCUUGAGGGUUUAAGCGUCCACCGUAGGAUCCUCUUGAAGGUCCUCUUGUGUGCCUGAGCAAUUAAUAAUGAACUAUCACUUAUAAACCCUAAUUAUCACGGAAGAUUGUACACAUGUACAAUCUAGAAAAUAUCGCGAGGACGAGCUAAAUUUUCUUGUAAAUCGAGGCUCAAAAGUGGGGUUCAACAAUCAUAACAAAAAUCUAAUCUUUAUCGUUAAAAUCAUUGGAAAGAAACAAGUAAGUAUGAAAUCAUGUAAAUCAAUUUUCAAACGAUCGAUCGAAGACGAACGGAAGCGUGACACGUCCUGGCUGGAUUCGAGGCAGUGAGGGAUCCAAAAUUUUUUUCAAUUUCCACCACCAAUCCGACCAAAUAUCUGGCCAAGAACUGGCUGGAUAUACUGCCAGAUUCUUUGAAAAUGUUCCCGUGCGAAAAUUUUACAAAAGGGCCAAGAAUUAUCGAAUUUAGGGGCAUUCUUUGAAAAAUUAUAACUCACUCUCUGAAAGUCCAAAAUUGGAAAAUUUUGUACCGUUGGAAACCAUUUCCAAAGAACUAAAAGUUUCUAGAAAACACUUUUCCAUGAUUCCAAAUGGAUGACAUUCAAAAUGUGGCUCAAAGUGACUGUUUUGGAAUGCCAAGACAGAUUUGGGUUGAUUUUCGGCAAAGUUUGGAAAUUCGGAAAAAUUUACACAAUGUGAACUAGCCUCUGAAAUUUGGAACUCAAUUAGAGUUAUAAUCAAAGUUUUCAACACAACAAGCGGAACAAGAAUUGGAGUUUUAAGCACCAAGAUAUAGUGGCUCAAAGUCACUGAAAUUUCCUCCUCAAACAGGGGUUUUCCAGGUUUAAAGCUUGAGCUUUGGUACUUUAAUUGAGCAUCUAAAUGAACUUGGAAUGGCACCAAAGUUAGCAGAAUUAAACUAUUAUCUAAGGGCUAUUCCUCUGUAAAUUUCAUGCAAAAACUCUCACGGAAAGUCAGUUAACAAAACCAUGGAAGUUCCAAGAAUUUCCAAGGCAAAUCUGCCUUGUACUUUAGUUUUCCUUUUCUCAAACAUUUGGCCAAUGAAAAAUCCUCGAACACGAUUCAUUCAUGAGGAAAAAGUCUAGGAAACAUCCAAAAAUAUGUUUGAUAGGUGAUUGACACCAAGGAUUCGAAUAACAAGUCCCAAAUCAAGAUUAGCUAUAGAUCAGUUCAGAAUUAGGGUUUUCUUUCACGAAGACAGUUCUAAAAUUCGGCCACAUCUCACACAAUUCAACUCAGAAUUGAGCGUGGUCAGUGGAGUUAAAAAUUAAAUUCAUUAGGAUACAAUUUCUUAGAAGGAAUCAUUUUAAAAUUCUGUCCACAACUAGCUCAUAUUUGAGCAUCAAGUCGCGGCUCAGAACAGCGCUUCCAGUACAGACGAGAAACAGAACAGGCAAAUUUACAAGGUUGGUAUGGCUCACUCAGGUGGAAUCAGGGUAUGCAUUUUACACCAUUGGAAAACUGGAAAUGUGUAGUUUCUAGUGCCACAAACGGCACUCGAUUUCGACAUUGGAGUAAAGAGUUAUGGCCGAAACAAAAUCACUGCCAGAGAGGCUCUGGUUACGUUUCCAGUUUUGCUACAUUUUCGAAAUCUCAACUUUUGGCCAACCAAAUUGGAUGACUUUUGGUGCAAACUUUACACACAACCCACACAACAUAUUUACAUCAAAAUCAAGUCAAUUGGACCACAAAAAUUUGCACCAACAGGUGCGGCAAAGCAGGGGCAGAACCGACAUUUUUUCCAUUUCACUCCCUUCGAGUUUUCUUCCAUAAUACAACUUAUUUCCACUAGAUUAAACACUAAUCCAGCUUAAAUAACACCCAAUAUCAUCAAAUCAGCUCAUCAAGUCCAUUGUGGGAUUUCAUAGAGACCACUCACAAGAUUUCCAACAAUAUAGAGUUUCCAACAUGCAUCUAUAAACUUACAAGUGCAUUAUAACUUAUAUAAACCAAGAUUCAAGAGGUUGAUCAUGUUUUACCUCCUUAGAUGACUAAAGCAGAAAUUUUCGGUCCAAUGAAGUUCAAGAAAACCGUGCAAAUGAAGCCCCUUUCCAAGCUUAGGAUGAUCACCAAGUGAUUUGCAAGUUGUGGUAAAAUUUUGAGAUGAUUUGGACAAGAAAUGAGUGAGUUGUUGAAGAGGUUUUGGCUUCCUCUUCCUCUUCUUGGAUGGCUGGCUGUUUGAGUGAAGAGAGAGAGAGUUGUGCUGCAAAUGAAACUUCCUUGAGAAGCUUAAAUGUGUGGUUCAAAAGUCUUCAAAAGUCAACUCUCCCUCCGCGUGCGCACGCGUGCGUUUCGUGCUCGAUUCCUCUCGAGUUUGGUUCACUAGUGCACUAAACCUCUAAUGCACUUCCAUUCAUACUAUUAUUAUUCAUUCUUAAUAGUCCCAAAAUAAAGGUCAUAAGUCUCUCAAUUAAUCGCGCACGCGAAAACGCGUACUUCCGAUUUGUGCGCGAUAAAGUGGAAUUUUCAAGAAAUUCUUAUAAGGAUAGUAUUACUAACCAAUACUUGAGUACUUAAACAUAAAAAUACCUAUUUUAAGACUAACGUAUGAGUCUUCAAUCUCCAAGCUCAUUGUAUUCUUGAAUCGUUUAUUGUCUCCAAACGCGUAUUCACUAUUCUCACUAAACGAGUUUCAAAAAAAUUAAAUUUUGAAGCAAGUCAUUUUUAAAAAUAUAUGCAAGUCAUAGUUCCAUUUAAUUGAGUCUAAAACAAAAUUGAAAUAAAUUAUUCGGAGCAAACGGGCAAUUAAAUAUUUAAAUAAGCUAGUAAUAGGAAUUUAAAAUAAGUAAAUUUGCGAGUUCUCACACGAGUCUAGUAUUAAUUUUCUCAAGUCUCCAAUUUGUCGUGCGGUACGACUUUCGAGAAAUUAUCGACGUACGCGUAAUGAAAACUUUAUUUAAAUUAAUCAUAUCUAAUCUCUCAAUUAACUCUUCUUAGUCCACUAUUGCUCAUCCUUAAUUCUCCAAAGUAAUUACAUUCUCGAAUCGAAGUUUAUCUUAAAAAAUGUAUACUCGUUAUUCCUUACUAAACGAGUUUUCGAAAAAUAAUUUUUUUUCUAACGAAACGUUUUAAAACACAAGAAAGGCAUUGUUCCAUAUAAAUGGACUUAAAAUGGUUGAAAUAAAUUAUUUGGGAUAAACGGGUAAAUAAAUAAUUAAUUAAGCCGGUAAAAAUAACAUUAAAAUAAGUAAAUUUUCGGCUCGUCACAUCCUUCCCUCCUUAAAAGGAAUUUCGUCCUCGAAAUUCACACUUAGGACAAUAUCGUUCCUUUAAUGGUUAAGCCUACCAGAUCAAUCACUAACUUACGUUUUCCAACCCAUACUUCUCAAUUUCUAUUCAUCCCACUAACAAUCAAACCUUGAUUUUCCCCAAUAAGCAUUUCAACUUCCAAGUCAUAUGGCAACUUAAUCAGUUUUAUGUCUACCUCAUAUAGGUAAUGUCUUCACUUCUUUAAUGCAAAUAUUAUAGCCACUAACUCCAAAUCAUGAGUUGUCUACUUUCUCUCGUGAUAUUUAACUUUCUAAAGGCAUAUACCAUCAUCUUAUCAUGUAUUAUUAAUAUACAUUCUAAACCAUCCUUUGAAGCAUCUGUAUAAGUCACAAAGCUACUUUCUCCGCUCAGUAAGGCUAACACAGGUGCAUCGGUUUAACAUUUUUUUUUUAUGUGAGGACCCGAAUUUUUACUUAUUUUAAUGGCUUAAUUAAUUUUUUAUCCACCCGUUUUCUUCGAAUAAUUUAUUUCAAUCAUUUUAAAUUCAUUUAUAUGGAAUAAUUUCUCCUUUAUGUUUUAAAAAUGUUUUGUUAGAAAAAUUUAUUUUUCGGAGGCUCGUUCGAUAAGAAAUAGCGAAGACACGUUUGUCGAGACUAUAUUUGAAUUAAGAGUGCAAUAAUCUUGGAGAUUUGAAGACUCAUACAUUAGUCUUAAAAUAGGUAUUUUUAUGCCUAUGUACUCAAGUAUUAGUUAGUUAUACUAUCGUUAUAAGAAUUUCUCGGAAGUUUCACCGUAACGCGUGCAAAUCGAAAGUUCGCGUAUAUCGAACCAGAGCGGUUAAUUGGAGAUUUGAGAAAUUUAUUCUAGACUAUUAAGAGUGGAUAAUUAUAAUGUUUAAGAAAGUGCAUUAGAGGUUUAGUGCACAAGUGAAACAAACCCGAGCGGAAUCGGGCACGAAACGCGCGCGACCACGCAUUAUUCCUAGUUGACUUUUGAAACGUUUUUGGCCACACACUUAAGCUUCUCAAGGAAGCUUCAUUUUCAGCAAACACACUCUCUCUCUUCACUCAUAGCAGCCGGCCACCCAUAGGAGGAAGAAGGAACCAAAGCUCUUCCAUUUCUUGCUCCAUUUCUUACCCAAAUCAUCUCAAAAUUUUACUACAACUUGCAAACCACUUGGAGAUCAACUUAAGCUAGGAAAUGAGCUUGUUUUUCACGGUUUUCUUGAGCUUCAAAGGACCGAAAAUUUUUUGUUUUAUCAUCUAAAGAGUUAACAAAUGAUCAAGCCCUUGAAUCUUAGUUUAUGUAAGUUGAUUUGCACUUGUAAGCUUAUAGAUGCAUGUGGGUAGCUUUAUAUUGUUGAAAAUCUUGUGUGUGGGCUCUAUGAAAUCCCACAAUGGCUUGAUGAACUGAUUUACUGAGAUGUGAUGUUAUUUAUGUUGGAUUAGUGCUUAAUCUAGUGAAAAUAAGUUGUGUUGUGAAAGAAAACUCAAAGGAAAUGAGAUGAGCAAAAGUGUCGAUUCUGCCCCUGUUUUGCCGUGACCAUUAGUGCAUUUUUUUUGUGGUUCAAUUGACUUGAUUUUGAUGUAAAUAUGUUGUGUGGGUUGUGUGAAAAGUUUUCACCAAAAAUCAUCCAAAUUGGUUAGCCAAAAGUUGAGAUUUCGAAAAUGUAGCAAAACUUGAAACGUAACCAGAGCCUCUCUGGCAGUGGUUUUGUUUUGGCCAUAACUCUUUCCUCCAACAUCAAAAUCGAGUGCCGUUUGUGGCAUUAGAAACUAGAUACUUCCAAUUUUCUAAAAAUAUAAAAUUUAUGCCCUUAUUCCACCUGAGUGAGCUGUACCAACCUUGUAAAUUUGCCUGUUCUGUUUCUUGUCUAUACUGGAAGCCCUGUUUUGAGCUGUGACUUGAUGCUCAAAUAUGAGCUAGUUGUGGACAGAAUUUUAAAACGAUUCCUUCUAAGAAAUUGGAGCCUUAUGAAUCUAUUUUUGAACACCACCAACCACGCUCAAUUCCAAGUUGAAUUGAGUAAGUUGUCGCCGGAUUUCAGAGCUGUCUUCGUUAAUUCUGGACUGAUUUAUAGCUAAUCUUGAUUUGGGAGUUGUUAUUUCGAAACUCUUGGUGUUAAUCACCUAUCAAACACAUUUUUAAUGUUUCUUAGACAUUUUCUUCAUAAUUGGACCAUGUUUGAAAAGAUUUCAUUGGCCAAAUGUUUGAGAAAAGGGAGAUGAAUGCACAAGGCAGUUUUGCCUUGGAAAUUCUUGGAAGUUUAAUGAUUUUGUUAACCGACUCCAUGUGUGAAUUGUUGUGUUAGAUUUGGCAGAGGAAUAGUCCUCAUAUGGUAGGAUAAUAAUACCAAAUUUGGUGCCAUUCCAAGUCCAUUUCGAUGUUCAACCAAAGUCUUAAAGUUCCCAUUUUAAAUCUGGAAAACCCUUGGUUGGUGAGAAAAUUUCAGUAACUUUGAGCCGCUAUACCUUGGUGCUCAAAACUCCAAUUCUUGUUUCGCUUGUUUUGUUUUAAACUUUGAUUAUAACUCUAAUUGAAUUCCAAAUUCCAGAGGCUAGUUCGUAUUGUGUGAAUUUUACCGAAUUUCCAAACUUUGUCAAAAAUCAACCCAAAACUGUCUUGGUAUUCCAAAACAGCCUCUUGGACCCAAAAAUUGAAUGUCUUCCAUUUGAAAUUAUGGAAAAGUACCUUCUAGGAACUUUUAAUAGUUUGGAAGUAGUUUCCAACGGUACCAAGUUUUCUAAUUUUGGACUUUCAGAGAGUGAGUUAUGAUUUUUCAAAGAAUGCCCUAAAUUCGGUAAUUCUUGGCCAUUUUUGUAAAAUUUUUGUGCGGGAACAUUUUCAAAGAAUCCGGCCGUAUAUCCAGCCAGUUCUUGGCCGGAUAGUUGGCCGAAUUGGUGGCGAAAAUUUAAAAAAUUUUGGAUCCUCACUGGCUUGAAUCCGGCCAACAAUCUAGAAUUGGCCGGAUUGUGACGUGGCUUCUACAGUCCAUCUUCGAUCGUUCGUUUGAAAAAAUGAUUUAUACCUACUCGUUUCCUCCAACGAUUUCAAAGAUGAAAGUUGGAUUUUUCUUGUAUAUUUAAACCCCACUUUUGAGUCUCGAUUUAUAAAAAAUUAAGACUCAUUUUCAUGACGUUUUCUUAGAUUGCACAAGAGUGCAAUCUUCCUUGAUAAUUAGGGGUUUUAAGUGAUAGUGUGUAAUAGACAACUAUUGUUUGCUCAGGUGCUCAAGGAGACCUUCAAGGGGAUCUCGAGGGGAACACCUAAAGGCUUAUUUACGCACUUACUCUUCUGUUUCAAUUGGUGAGUGUCAAGUUCAUGAAUAUUUGAAAAUUUUGUGAAUUGCUCAUUAUGAAAUGGAUGGGUUAUAACUGCUGAGUCGAGUGUGUACUUUAUCGAAUGCGUUCUCAAUAAAAUGAAUUGUAAUUGAAUUGCCUGAAUUGAAUUGCAUUAUAUGCUAUGGCUGUAUAUGUCGUUGGAGUGAAUCUCCUCGAUUCAUAAUUGAACUGUAUGACUGCCGAUUGGAAUGCGCUCAUCGGCCUAUAACGGUAUUUGUCGAUUGGACUGAAUGUCAUCAACCCUUACAAUUAUAAUCGUAUAAUCGGGUUUCUGAGCGAUAGCAUGUACCACACCGAUUCGGGUGGGAGGUACCUCUCAUGUCGGUUCAAAACCCUAAAUAAAUGAUCGGUUCUCUGAGUGAUAGCAUGUACAACACCAAUCCGGGUGGGAGGUACCUCUCACGUCGUCUCAAAACCAUAAACCAUCCUAAGUCGAUUGGAGUGAUGUCUCAUCGACUAUUGGGCGAUAGUAUGUACCAUGCCGAUUUGGCGUGGGAGGUACCUCUCAUUCCACUCAGAACUAUAAGCAAAGCAUAAGUCGAUUAGAGCGAUGUCUCGUCGACCACUGAGCGAUAGUAUGUACCACACCGAUUUGGGUGGGAAGUACCUCUCAUUCGACUCAGAACCAUAAACAUAUAAUCGACCACUGAGCGAUAGUAUGUACCACACCGAUUCAGGUGGGAGGUACCUCUCAUUCGACUCAGAAUCACAAAUGGAAUAAGUAAUGUUCUAUGGACUUUUGGAUUGAACUUUGGCAAAGCAAGUGGAAAUGAGCUCCUAAGAGCUCCCGUAUCCUUCUUGAAUGUGUUUUGUGAAUAUUCGGGAAUUACUUGAAUGUUACAGCUUUAUCUCUCGUACCAGCUUUAUUGCUACUUGAAUUACCUGCUUGCAUGAUUUUUUCUUGGCUUCACUGAGCAUCAGCUCAUCCCAUUAGUUUUGUUUUCCUUAACAGGAGCCGAAAUGGAGGGAAUUAUGGAGAGGUCGACUUGAUGGCCCUUUUGAUUAGAAUUAUGAAUGUAUUUGUUUAGACGGCUUUUGAAAGUUGUAUAUUUUGGAAAUGUAAGAUAUUUUGGUAGCUUAUGAUAUAAGACUUGAACGAUUAUUAAGGACUUGACCUUCCUUUAUAUCUUCGUCUUUUAGUAUCGAUUGUUUUUUCGAAAGUUUGAAUUGAAUUGUACCGAGUCCUGGCUAGAGUUGGGCAGGCGUCCCGCGGAUACCCUUGGGAGAAGUGGGGGCAUCACAUUUUCACUUUCAAAUCUCACAUUUAAAAUCCCAAAAACUUGCCAAGUCUUGCACUCUUAGAAAAUUCCUUGAUAAACCAAAGGUAAUAUUCGGCUAACUCUAAGAACUCCAAAUUUUGGUAGGAUUUUCUGAUCGUUUUCUCUUAAAUAGCUUCCACUUUAGCCGAGUCAAUAACAAUUCCUUCUCUUAGAUAUUGUAUAACCUAGAAAGGCUAUUUCUCCCAGUCGUACUCACAGUUAUUGAACUUAACGAAAGCUGGCGCCCUCUCGAAGUUUGUAGAACUAUCAUCAAGUGUUUUUCAUGCUCUUCUCAAACAUUAGAGUAUACUGAUAUAUAUCAAUAAAUGCCACCACAGAUUAAUCCAAAUACGGUUUAAACUCCAAUGCAUUAGGUCCAUAAAUGCUACUAGUGCAUUAGUCAACCCGAAGGGCGUACUGAAAAUUCAAAGUGUCCAUGUCUUAAAUUGAAAGCAGUCUUAACCACAUCAGUUUCUAGGAUCCUCAUAUGGUAAUAGCUCUACUUUAAAUCCAAUUUGGAUACUAUCACGGUUCCUUACAGUUGAUCGAAUUCUUAUCCAUGUAAAACAAAAGGUAGUUGUUCUUAAUGGUCACAUUGUUCCAGUCUCGAUAGUCUAUGUAUAGCCUCAACUCCCAUCCCAAUUAUUAGAUCCGGUACCUUAAUCGUUAGGCUCAUUAAAUCUAUUAAAUGUUUUCUUUCACUAACCCAAAUCUCAAAAUUUUAAUAUAUCAAAUUGGCAAUCAAACAUUGGAUCCCAACUUCAACCCUAAGUUCUCGAUUUUUGGUCCCGAUCCCUGGUCACCUCCAAGGCCUCAGGGUUGCUUAUAUUCUCAAGUAUGAUCUCGAUCACAUCUACUAUCAUUCAUGUUUCAUUAUAAAUCUAAAAGUGUGGGGCAAGGUUUAAAUAUACAUGCAAGUCAUAAAAUCAAUUUUCAUAUGUCAUAAAGAUCAUCAUAAUUUCAUCCAGUUGGAAGAAAUUUAUCAAAAGAAAAAAGGGGAAACAACAAGAUUAUAGCAAAACGUGCCAAGUUGCCAAGAUACAAAAUAACAAAAGACAUUUCCUUAUGCAAAAGAUUGAGUCUCCAGAAGUGCCAGUCUAGUCUAGGGUAAAACUAUAACCUCUAUCUCUCAAGUGAAGUCAAACUAUCUCGACUUGUGAAACCUCCAUUACUUGGGUCCUCUUCACAGCCAUUAGUAUUAAUUACUCUCAUCUGGCAUUCGAUUGUUUUGAAGCGAAUCUAAUUGGCUGCUGAGUAUUUCUUCCUUUUGUUAGGGGCACUGGGGCAACUUGAAAUCUGAUGUUCGGGGCUACCACAGUACAAGCACUUUCCCGAUUUCUUCCAACAUUCAUUCUCCGUGUGGUUGGGCUUACCACAGUAUCCACAAGUCGUACGAGAAGUCAUGGCCUGACCAGCUUGAGAAGUUCUUUGUAUUUCAUUUCUAGUUCUACGUUCUUAUAUAGCAACUCAAUUUUCUCAGCAUAUUCUUGUUUCCACCGUCCUUCCCAGUAGUCAGCCAAUUUCUUUUGAAACUCUACCUCUUUUCGAAGAAGGUCCACUUCCUUAUGCAUCUCUCCCAAAUUUGUCAUCCUACCGGUUGGUUCAAGUCAAAUGCUAGCCUGCCAGGUAAAUCAAAAGAUCAAAUAAGUAGCUAUUCAUAAUGGAAGCUCGAGCCAUAAUACUCUUUCAUUCUUUUGCUUACAGGUUACCUCAGAAUACAAAUCUUAACUAUUCUCUGCUUAAUAUGGGCGAGCUCUUAAGUCUCCACGAGAUUACUAUCAGUAAUUACAAACGCAAAAAGGUAAGGGGACCUUAUUCCUUAAUAUAAAAAUUCCAUGUCUUAGUUCACUCUUCAAUACUUAUCUACAAGGUCAUUCGAGAAGAAAUCAUAACCUCUUGUUCUCACUAGUGCCUUAUUGUAUCCUCUCAAAUCAAUCUUACUAUUUCGGGGUUAGAUUUUCCGUGAGCUUAGUUGGACGAGCAUCAAGAAUUGUUCAAUUCCUCACACCUUUCUUGGUUCUUAGGUUGGUUGAUUGGUUUACAGAUUUGGUGCUCAACCAACUGUGCUAGGACAUCAAUCGUAUGAUCAAUAGCAGUAGCUAAGCGAUUGUUUUCCUUCAUUUGUAGGGUUUCGGUUCGGUCCAAUAGUCGCUCCCUAAUCAUCCCCUUGAGCUUGGGGUUGUUUAACCCCUCGUCUUCAGUCAUUUUUAACUUUUUCGGCCGCUCAUGAAUUUAACAUUCACAAAGGCAUGACAUAAAAUGAGUGUGUAUAAACGAAACUUAAAAAGCGACACUUUGAUCAUGUAAAAUGAAAAUAAAAUGGAAGAUACCGGAAUAGUCACAGAUGUGUACAACCCAAUCAUAGAUUUGAAGUCAUAAAGCAAUAAAGUCAAGCAUCUCAUGAGUAACGUUUAAUUGCUUCAAAAAGGUAGGAAACAUAGUGAAACAAAAUACAAAAUGCAAUGGCCUCUCAGCGAGCACCACCCCGUCUAUCUUUGGCAAAAGCUAUUAAAGUAGUUUAAAUCACUAGCUUAGUGAUUGGCGGAGCCAAAUGUCUCUACUACCUCCGUAGGAUCAAUUUCAUUUCCAGCACUAGAAGUUUUAAUCUCAUGUCCCUUAUCGAGUAUCUUAUCAUUCUCCACUUGUUCAACCAAGGUAACACACCCAACCAUCGACUUAUCCGUCCGGUCCCUAAUUCCGUAUACUACCCUUGCAAGUCGGUUCUCAACUUUUUUGAAGCUGUUCACUAGGAGCCUUUGUGUCUUCCUCGCUCCUUAAGUUCCUCAGUCUCCACUUCAGAAAUUCUAAUAGUCUGGGCAUCGGCAAUUGCCCUCGGUCCUCGAUUAUCCCCUUGAACUACCCUAAUUUCCUCGGAUAGCCACUUCCGAUGAUCGGCCACUAUUAACACCCCAUUAUUUGGGCACGAGCAAGUCAUUUGGAAAUCACAUAAAGUCCUAGUUCGGCGAGUUGGGUUAUACCUCCAACGAGCUCUCCUAGGCCCUUCACGACCAUGGUGACCGUAAUGCGUCCCCGAGACGGUUCAAUGCCACCGUUACCUUCCGUAACUUAUAAUUAAAUUUAAAAGCUUAAAUGGGACCAAAUAUACUAAAUAAACAGGAUUUAAUCAUCUCGUAUUCUCUUACAAGAUCGAGACUCCCAAUUGUCCAUUAAUUCAAACUUAGGUUCUAAUUUUUAUCCCCACAAGCAGUCACCUAACUUACCAACCAGUUCCACAGUCCGGCAUCCUAAACUUUUAAGCCUAGGAUACUCUACAAAGAUCUGAAACCUAAGAUCUGAUACCAAUUGUGACGCCCCCACUUCUCCCUAAGGCGAACCAAAGGAUAUCCACGGAACGCCUGCCCAACUCUCGCCAGGACUCAAGGCAAUUAGAUUCAAUCUUAAUACAAUACCAGCCAUCACGACAAGAUAAAGUAAGAAAGUGCCAAAACUUUCAAGCUUAAAAAUAUAUAACAAUUAAUACAAAACUACCAAAGUGAAGUCGCUACCAUAACUGACAGCCCAAGUCUUACACCACCAGUUCAAAAUACAGUGAUUAUCCAAUUCUUACAUCGAAUUUCCCAAAAUACACAUCAAAUCCCAAAAUAUACGACAACCAAAAUAUCUAGCCAAUUGCAUUAGGGGCAAUUUUACAAAAUGUUCCCAUGUGAAAAUUUUACAAAAGGGCCAAGAAUUAUCGAAUUUAGGGGCAGUCUUUGGAAAAUUAUAACUCACUCUCUAAUAGUCUAAAAUUGGAAAAUUUUGUACCGUUGGAAACUACUUCCAAAGAACUAAAAGUUUCUAGAAAAUACUUUUCCAUGAUUCCAAAUGGAUGACAUUCAAAAUGUGGCUCAAAGUGACUGUUUUGGAAUGCCAAGACAGAUUUGGGUUGAUUUUCGGCAAAGUUUGGAAAUUCGGAAAAAUUUACACAAUGUGAACUAGCCUCUGAAAUUUGGAACUCAAUUAGAGUUACAAUCAAAGUUUUCAACACAACAAGCGGAACAAGAAUUGGAGUUUUAAGCACCAAGAUAUAGUGGCUCAAAGUCACUGAAAUUUCCUCCUCAAACAGGGGUUUUCCAGGUUUAAAGCUUGAGCUUUGGUACUUUAAUUGAGCAUCUAAAUGAACUUGGAAUGGCACCAAAGUUAGCAAAAUUAAAAUAUCAUCUAAGGGCUAUUCCUCUGUAAAUUUCAUGCAAAAACUCGCACGGAAAGUUAGUUAACAAAACCAUGGAAGUUCCAAGAAUUUCCAAGGCAAAUCUGCCUUGUACUUUAGUUUUCCUUUUCUCAAACAUUUGGCCAAUGAAAAUUCCUCGAACACGAUUCAUUCAUGAGGAAAAAGUCUAGGAAACAUCCAAAAAUAUGUUUGAUAGGUGAUUGACACCAAGGAUUUCGAAUAACAAGUCCCAAAUCAAGAUUAGCUAUAGAUCAGUUCAGAAUUAGGGUUUUCUUUCACUAAGACAGUUCUGAAAUUUGGCCACAUCUAACUGAAUUCAACUCAGAAUUGAGCGUGGUCAGUGGCGUUGAAAACUAAAUUCAUAAGGCUACAAUUUCUUAGAAGGAAUCAUUUUAAAAUUCUGUCCACAACUCGCUCAUAUUUGAGCAUCAAGUCGCGGCUCAGAACAGGGCUUCCAGUACAGACGAGAAACAGAACAGGCACAUUUACAAGGUUGGUACGGCUAACUCAGGUGGAAUCAAGGUAUGUAUUUUAUACCAUUGGAAAACUGGAAAUGUCUAGUUUCUAGUGCCACAAACGGCACUCGAUUUCGACAUUGGAGUAAAGAGUUAUGGCCGAAACAAAAUCACUGCCAGAGAGGCUCUGGUUACGUUUCCAAUUUUGCUACAUUUUCGAAAUCUCAACUUAUGGCCAACCAAAUUGGAUGAUUUUUGGUGGACACUUUACACACAACACACACAACAUAUUUACAUCAAAAUCAAGUCAAUUGGACCACAAAAAUUUGCACCAACAGGUGCGGCAAAGCAGGGGCAGAACCGGCAUUUUUUUCCAUUUCACUCCCUUCGAGUUUUCUUCCAUAAUACAACUUAUUUCCACUAGAUUAAACACUAAUCCAGCAUAAAUAACACCCAAUAUCAUCAAAUCAUCUCAUCAAGUCCAUUGUGGGAUUUCAUAGAGCCCACUCACAAGAUUUCCAACAAUAUAGAGUUACCCACAUGCAUCUAUAAGCUUACAAGUGCAUUAUAACUUAUAUAAACCAAGAUUCAAGAGGUUGAUCAUGUUUUACCUCCUUAGAUGACAAAACUAGAAAUUUUCGGUCCAAUGAAGCUCAAGAAAACCAUGCAAAUGAAGCCCCUUUCCAAGCUUAGGAUGAUCACCAAGUGAUUUGCAAGUUGUGGUAAAAUUUUGAGAUGAUUUGGACAAGAAAUGAGUGAGUUGUUGAAGAGGUUUUGGCUUCCUCUUCCUCUUCUUGGAUGGCCGGCUGUUUGAGUGAAGAGAGAGAGAGUUGUGCUGAAAAUGAAGCUUCCUUGAGAAGCUUAAAUGUGUGGUUCAAACGUCUUCAAAAGUCAACUCUCCCUCCGCGCGCGCACGCGUGCGUUUCGUGCUCGAUUCCUCUCGAGUUUGUUUCACUAGUGCACUAAACCUCUAAUGCACUUCCAUUCAUACUAUUAUUAUUCAUUCUUAAUAGUCCCAAAAUAAAGGUCAUAAGUCUCUCAAUUAAUCGCGCACGCAAAAACGCCUACUUCCGAUUUGUGCGCGAUAAAGUGGAAUUUUCAAGAAAUUCUUAUAAGGAUAGUAUUACUAACCAAUACUUGAGUACUUAAACAUAAAAAUACCUAUUUUAAGACUAACGUAUGAGUCUUCAAUCUCCAAGCUCAUUGUAUUCUCGAAUUGUUUAUUGUCUCCAAACGCGUAUUCACUAUUCUCACUAAACGAGCUUCAAAAAAAUUAAAUUUUGAAACAAGUCAUUUUUAAAAAUAUAUGCAAGUCAUAGUUCCAUUUAAUUGAGUCUAAAAAAAAUUGAAAUAAAUUAUUCGGAGCAAACGGGCAAUUAAAUAUUUAAAUAAGCUAGUACUAGGAAUUUAAAAUAAGUAAAUUUGCGAGUCCUCACACGAGUCUAGUAUUAAUUUUCUCAAGUCUCCAAUUUGUCGUGCGGUACGACUUUCGAGAAAUUAUCGACGUACGCGUAAUGAAAACUUUAUUUAAAUUAAUCACAUCUAAUCUCUCAAUUAACUCUUCUUAGUCCACUAUUGCUCAUCCUUAAUUCUCCGAGGUAAUUACACUCUCGAAUCGAAGUUUAUCUCGAAAAAUGUAUACUCGUUAUUCCUUACUAAACGAGCUUUCGAAAAAUAAUUUUUUUUCUAACGAAACGUUUUUAAACACAAGGAAGGCAUUGUUCCAAACAAUUGGACGUAAAAUGGUUCAAAUAAAUUAUUAGGAAUAAACGGGUAAAUAAAUAAUUAAUUAAGCCGGUAAAAAUAACAUUAAAAUCAGUAAAAUUUCGGGUCCUCACAGAUUCAUUAGAGAGAGUGAAUUCCGUGGAGGGCGCCUGUGAGGACCCGUAAAAUUUUCCUUGUUUAUAUUCUUUUAUUUUAUUUUUCCGCAUGCAUUUUCCUUACGUCACUUUACUAUAUUAAUUUUCAAAAGAUUUUUAUCAAUGAAUAUAGUUUUAAAUCAUUUUUCCCAUUAUGGGUUAGGUCAUGAAGAGUUUGAAGUGUAUUAUGGACGUGGGACCCGCUAGUGCGGUUAGUGUGAUAAAAUUUUGACGAUUAGUUGGAAUUUUUGUAAAGGAAUAUUAUUUUACAAGGUGAUAGGAGACAAUUAGAGGUUAGCUAGAUAGAUUAACCGUUCGGAGAAAGAAGAUAAGCUUAAACCGUAAAAGGUGCCACGUGUCGCCACGUGUCGCGACUUGAUUGGAAGUUGGACUUUGACCUAAUUCUUACCUUUACUAAAUAUCUAAUUUUUGACCAAAAUCAUCUUCAUUCUUCAUGAAGCUUGGCCGAACCUUUGAGGAGAGAAAAGAGAGGAAAACUUCAUCUUGUUUCUUUAAAUCCAAACCCAAAUCUUGAGUUCCAACCAUUAACAUCUCAAAUUACUCCAUAAAAACUCCUUCCUAGGAAGGAUUAAAGAGGUUGGUGGAGUUGUUUUGGAAAGGGAAGCACUAAGCUACCAAUUUUUCUUGGGGUUUUAAGGUAAUCUUGUCAAGAACUUCCUCUUUACUUAAAUUAAUAGUUCAUUAGUCGAUUAGAGUUGUUAAAUAGGUAGUUUUGUGAGAAAGUUCAUGUUUUAAGGUAGAGUUAUGGUAUAUUUCAGAUUUUUGGUCGAAUUUCUGUCCUUAUUUAAUGCUUAAGGAUAUGCCAUGGAUUGAUAGUUUUGUUGUGUGUGAAAUGGAGCUUGUAUAUGCUAGAUGUGAUUUCCUAUGGAAAAUUUUAGUUUGUGUAGCUAAAUUCCAGCUUUAGGGUUUUUAAUUUGAGCUCCCAUUUGGUUAUAUUUGAAGGGUAUUGUGACCCUAAUUAGGUGUGUUCAAUAGUUUGUGAUUUAUAUGGGAAAUUGUGGCUGAAAUGAGAUGAGAUUGGGUGUUGAUGUUAGGUUGGAAAAGUAAAGAAAAACAAAGGAGGUGCUGCUGGAAUUUUCGCAGGACCCUUGAGCAGUCUUGGGGAAUCUGCUCUAUUUUGAUGUAGGAAAAUCAGAAUUAAGUUCUAUUUGUUGCGUUUUAAACUAGAUUCAUAGGGAUAUAAACCGUGUAAAUUUCAUACCCUGCUUCUGUCUGUACGAUUUAUGGUGAUUUUUCAAAGUUGACUGAAAUUGCGUACCUGUUUUGUCUUUUACUGGACGAAGCAGCGACUUGAAGCUCGAAUUUGACUGACUUGUGAUCCGAAUUUUAAAAAUGUGUCUUCUGAGAAAUGUUACUCCUUUGAGUCUAUUUUCUAACGGUAUAAAGUUUACCAAUUUUGGAUUUAAGAAUCUUGAGAUAUGAUUUUUCAAAUAUUGGUGCGCAAAACUGGAAAAUCCUGUAUUCUUAGCAUUAUUCUUACUCUUAUUUUGCACCUUAAGUUUGGAGUUAGUAAAUCAUUGAGGGUAUGAUUUUGGGUAGAAGCGAAGGGUUUUCGGAUCGUUCAUAUCUGUAGGACCAACUACUAUCUUUUCACUCCAAAACUAUACCUUCGUGUGCAUUGGUAAUUUACUUGGUUAGACAUAUGACUCGUAAUCGAGUCUCAAUUGUUCUACCUUGUUGGUUUAGGACAUGCCAGUGAUCCAAGUACUUCGGGAGGACACGUUUGAAGUUAUUUGUUUAAACUGGUGAGUGUACCACUCCCUUAAUUGUUGCUUAUCUGUGACUUCUGUAUACUUUAUAUGAAAUGAGGGUGUACUUCAUCACACUCAUUUCUCUCAUCUGUUCAUGUUGGUUCCUGUAUCUUGUAUAAAUCUGUAUUUGUUCUCUGUAUCUGUUCUCUGUAUGUGUUGAUGUCGUUUGGAGGGUUGAAUCCAACAACCAUUCUGUGACCUAUGAGCUCAAAGCCGGUGGCUAGUUACUCAAGUCGAGCCGGCAAGGCCUGGUCGAUUAGAUAACGAACCACGGUAGUCCACUUUUAGGAAAUAUUUGGGUAUUGGAGACUCUGGAUUUUCGGUAUACUCGAGUAUUACCAUUUAUGUUUCUGUUGAGGUGUUCGGGCCCAGUGAGGGGUAAGUUUGGUGGACGGAGUUGGUGUUAAAAUGGUGCUCUACUGGACUGGUUUCUUUAUUUGAAAGUUGACGGAGUGUCAACUACUAUUUGAUCAAGCUCGGGUGAAGAAAAAGGGAAUUUGGCUCUUGAGAGCCACCUGUAUCCUUUCUAAGUGAAUUAUUUGUUCAUUUCCUUAUCUGGUGGGUCUAUCUGACUAUUUGUAUUUCUGGUACCUCAUUGAGCUUUUAGCUCACCCCUUUCCCGUUUCAUUUUGUUUUUCUUACAGGGACUACCUUUUGGAAACCAUGAUUUUGCAGAGAGCUACUUGUAGUUAUAAUUUGAUUAAGUUCCUCCGUACUGGCAAAACCCUAAUUGUACCAUGAUAACAUGUGGCUCUCUGGCCGUGUUGCCUGUUGAACUGUUGAACAAUCCGAUGUAUAGUUAUAUUAGUGUUUAACCAUGUAAGUUAAGUGUAUUUGUUUGAAAUGUUAUGUUUUAUGGCUCGAUGGAACUUUUCUUGUAUUCGUUGAAAUGCCCAGGCAAGUGCGGAACUUGAACGAGGAAGGAAAAACUUUUGGCAGGAAUUUCUGCAGGGGAAUCCGGCCGCAAAUCUGGCCAGUUCUUGGCCAGAUAGCUGGCCGGAUUGACAGGGGAUUUUGGUUCCAUUUUGGGUUGGCUACUGCCUCCAAUCCGGUCAGGAAUCCGGUCAGAUAUCCGGCCAGAACCCGAUCGGAUUAUGACUUGGCAGUUACUAUUUAUCCUUCAGUUUUGAUUUUUGUUUCCGUUUCGUGGUUGUGAAUCAUUUAAGUGCGCUAAUAUAUUUCAGAAUGUUUUAGUUUGUGUAAACCGUCUUAGUAGUCCUAGCGAGAGUUGGGCAGGCAGUUCGCUAACCUCUUUGGUACGCUUUAGGGGGAAGUGGGGCUAUCACAGCGCCUGUACUCUUUGUUAAGAAAAGAUGGAAGUUUAAAGCUAUGCGUGGACUUUGGAAACUUGAAUGAGGGGACCAUUAAGAAUAAAUACCCUUUUGCCUCACAUAGAUGAAUUGUUUGACCAAUUAUAAGGAGUCAGGGUGUUUUCUAAGUUGGAACUGAGACAAGAGUAUUAUUGGUUAAGGAUCUUAGAAAGAGUUGUACCUAAGAUUGCUUUUGCUUCAAGACGUGGCUAUUUUGAGUUUGUAGUCAUGUCUUUUGAGUUGACUAAUGCACCGGCAGUUCAUAAACUUGAUACACUGAGUUUUAACCUCUAUUUGGAUUAGAUUGUGGAGGUGUUCACAGAUGAUAUAUUGAUAUAUUCUAAGUCUCGAGAGAAUCAAGAACGACAUUUGAGGAUAGUUUUGCAAACCUUGAGAGAACGUUGACUUUUGCUAAGUUCCACAAGUAUGGAUUUUGAGUCAAAAGAAACUCACCGUUCUAAGCAUACGGUGCACCCUAGCGGUAAAAAGAUGUACCAGGAUCUGAAGAGUCUUUAUUAUUGCGAUAAAUGAAGAGGAAACUUGAAAGAAGUAUCCAGAGCUAUUUUCGAAUCAAGGUACAAAUUUUGAGAACGAAAUUCUUUUUAAGGAGGGAAGGAUGUGAGGACCCGCAAAUUUUCCUAUUUUUAUCUUAUUUUACUAGCUUAUUUAAUUAUUUAUUCAACCGUUUUCUCUGAAUAAUUUAUUUCAACUAUUUUAAAUCCAUUUACAUGGAACAAUGUCUCACUUAUAUUUUUAAAAUGACCUGUUUGCAAAUUUAAUUUUUCUACGGCUCGUUUAGCGAGAAAUAGCGAAUACAAAUUUUUCGAGACAAUAUUCGAUUCGAGAGUGCAAUAAUCUUGGAGAAUUAAGAAUGAUCAAUAGUAGACUAAGAAAAGUUAAUUGAGGGAUUAGAGGUGAGUGAGUUCCAAUUAACCUUUUACCGCGCGCGCGUCGAUAGUUUCUCGAAAGUCAUACUGCCCGACUAAUUGGAGAUUUGAGAAAUUAAUUCUAGACUCGUAAGAGUGAGUAAUUAUAGUGUUAAAGGAAGUACCUUGGAGAAUUAGUGCAUGAGUAUAUCAAACUCGAGAGAAAACGGUGGUCCGAAACCCGCGCGCGACAACUAUUCAAAGUUGAUUUUGGCUAGCUUUUUGUUCCUUUUGGCUAGAUUUUGGCGCGAGAAUUAAGAAUGAUCAAUAGUAGACUAAGAAAAGUUAAUUGAGGGAUUAGAGGUGAGUGAGUUCCAAUUAACCUUUUACCGCGCGCGCGUCGAUAGUUUCUCGAAAGUCGUACCGCCCGACUAAUUGGAGAUUUGAGAAAUUAAUUCUAGACUCGUAAGAGUGAGUAAUUAUAGUGUUAAAGGAAGUACCUUGGAGAAUUAGUGCAUGAGUAUAUCAAACUCGAGAGAAAACGGUGGUACGAAACCCGCGCGCGACAACUAUUCAAAGUUGAUUUUGGCUAGCUUUUUGUUCCUUUUUCCCUCCAAUCUUCCAAGGUAAGCUUCACACAAACAAACACUCUCUCUCUCUCCUCUCUUUGGUCAGCUGAAAUAGCAAAGGAAAAGGAAUGAAGAAAGCUCUCUUCAUCUUGCUCCAAUCUUGUUCCAUUUCACUUGAAAAUCUUUAUCCAACUAACAUACUACUUGGAGAUUAGUUCUAGCUUGGAGAAAGGCAUCAUCUUGUGGAUUUUUUUUUUGGAGAGUUUUGGUGAAAAUUUCUGGUUUCAUCUAGGGUUCAAGAGGUAACCUUCAUCUCCUUUAAAUCUUUCCAUUUAAUCAAAGUUUAGUGGUUAGUUUUGCAUGGGCUUGAAACCCUAAGCAAGAAAUAAGUUAGAGGACUUGAGGAGCUUCAUUUCUUGCUUUAAUCUCUAGGCUAGCGGUUUUGAGGUGAAUUAUAGGUAGCUACCUUGAGGAUUAAAAUGCUUGAUUGUUGUGUUUAUGUGUUAUAUGAAAGGUUUAUGGUUAGAAAAUGGAGAGAAAGUUGAGAAAUGUAUGAGUUUAGUGCUGGCCAAAACUGUCCUGCUGUUAUCUUACUUGCAUUUCGAGCUUUUGUUGGUUGUUUGACUAUGAAAUUGAUGGAUAGAUGUUGUAUAUUGUGUGUACAAAGUGUUUUCGAAAAAUCGUUUCAUUUGGUUGCAUAAAACUUGAGCUUUGGCAAGAAUCAAAUCUGGAAAAAAGUAUAGCAGGGGUUCUCGGACAGUGUUCUUUGUUCGAACGUUACUCUCUGUACAAAAGUCAAAAUUGAGUGCCGUUAGUGACAUUCAAAACUAGACAUUCAUAGCUUUCCAACGGUAUAAAAAUCACCUGCGAGUUCGAACUGAGGGAACCGUAGUGAUUCAACAAAAUUGACUGUCCUGUUGUGACUGUCUGUCCGAGAGGAAUGGAGAAGCUGCAUCUUGUGGCUUGAUUUUCUCUCACUUGUGAACUGAUUUUGGAAACGACUCUUUCUGAUGAAAUGUAGCAUUUUGAACCUAGUUUACAAUAUCAUAAACCAUUCAUAAUUUGAACUUGUAUUGAGUGAGAUGUGGUCUGAUUUCGAAAGUACAACAAAGCUGGAAACUGGAAAGUUUUUCCCUUCUUGCUAGCCGAACGGUCAGGGUUACUUUGGGAUGUUUUGUUUCAAAAAUUUUGAUGUCAAUUACCCAUCAGUUGCUUAUUAAAUGUUUCUAGAACCUUGGUUUCAAAAAUGGAUCGAUUUGGGGCUGUUUUCAUUGUACCAAACUUUUGAAAGGAAAGAAAGGGUCGAGUUGGCAGAUUAGCCUUGAGAAUUUCCCAAACUUUGGUAGUUUUGUUAACUGCCUUCCCAAGUGAGUUUUUGCAUAAAAUUUAGUAGAGAAGUAUUGGUCAUAUGGAAGUCUAAGUGUACCAAAUUUGGUGUAAUUUCAAUACUAUUUUGAUAUCCAAAUGAUGCCUCAAAGAUUGUUCUGGAAAUCUGGAAAUUUACUAAUCAGUUUGCAAGAUUUCGCCGACUUUGAACUGUUAUAUCUUGAUGCUCAAAACUCCGAAUUUAGUUAUGUUUGUCGUGUUUGAAACUUUGUUUGGAACUCUUAUUGUGUUACGAAUUUAUAGGGCUGAUUCACUUUCUGUGAAUUAUGCCGAAUUUCCAAAGAAUGCUGGAAAACCAAGACUGGUUCAAAUCUGUCUUGUUGGAACUGAAACUUUGAGCUGAAAAAUGAGUGCUUUCCGUUUAGAAUCAUAGAAAAGUGUCUUCUAGAAACUUUUAGCACUUCGAACCUAGUUUCCGACAGUAUAAAGUUUUCCAUUUUUAGAAGUGUCAAACUCAAGAUUUGAUUUUCCAAAGAUGGUCACUCAAAGCUUAAAUUUCCCGAUUUCUUAGGGAAUGAGUUUUUAAGAACUUGUUACUUUCUUUUGAUAUCGAUAGACCGUUUUAAACUUGAUCUCAUGGAAGAGGCAAGUCUCUCUUGGGACUUUAACUCCUCACUUUUGAACCUCGAUUUUCGAGAAAUUAAGGUUCUCUUUUAAGACAUUGAUGUGACAGCCCCACCUUCCCCUAAGGCAUACCAAAGGGGUUAGCGGACUGCCUGCCCAACUCUCGCCAGGAUUACUAUGACGGUUAUAAACAAUCUAAAACGUUCCGAAAGGUAAUAGAGCUCAAACGAUUCAAAAUUCGCGAAACGAAAAAUGAAAAAAUGGAGCCGUACAUGAAUAGUGCCGGCCACGUCACAAUCUGGCCGGAUUGGAGGCAGUGACCAACUGCCCGGAUUCAAAAAAAUCCAAGGCAAUCCGCCAAUCAAUUCGGCCAAGUUCUGGCCGGAUUCUCGGCCGGAUUUGCUUGUGCCAUUUCCCGCCAAAUUUUUUUCCUUUUGUCGUUUGAAAUCCGAACCUGUCCGAAACCCAAUCAAUCACCAACAAAUCAUAUAAACCUUGGAAUUUGACAUUUACAAACCAAAAUAACACAUACGGUUUCAAAUUUACAACUCAAAGGGAAAAGUUGUGUCAAAAUACAUUUAAAGUUUUCCCACCAUCGAGGAGCUAUACAAAAGCAUAUUAAACUAGCUCAACUCGGCUUCAAAACCACAGUUCCCCAAUAGGUAUUCAUAUCCCUGUAAGGAAAACAAAGGCAAUGGAGUGAGCUUUCGCCCAAUGAGGUACCAUCACUCAAGUAACACAGUUCAUAUAAGCACAAAGGUACUCAAUCCAAGUACGUUCAAUAAGUGAGUCAACGAGCACCACAUUUCAAUAAAGAUAUGUAAAAGGAUACGGUCGGCUCUCAAGAGCCCUUUUCCUCGCUUGCCAUACUUGAUCUUGCCCCGUUGACCCUCCGUCAAUGCUUAAGGAGGAACCAAUACCGUAGACUCAACUUUCCCCAAUUUCCUUCCACCUCACAUACCCCUACCGGGCCCGAACUCCAAUCAGUUUACAAUGGUAAUACUCGAGUAUACCGGAAUCAAGGGUCUCAUACCCAAUGAUUCCAUAGAAACAGUCCCCAUGGCUUGUCAAUCUCCUCGACCAUGCCCUUGCUGGCUCGAGUCAAUCGACCGCCGAUGGGGUUGAGCUCAGAGUAAACAGUAAAAGUUGUUGGAUACACGUCCAAACGACACCAGUUCAAGUAUAUUCACAAGACAUUCAAUUGAUACAGUAAACAGUCGCAUAAGCCAUAGAGUCUGAAAGUGAUAAAGUACACCCUCGACUCAAUCAAUCUCAACAGUACACACAAUCAUUCAAAUCAUAGAUUUCAAGUAUAAUAAAGUCAUGAGGUAACAAUCAUGUGAGUAGUACACUCACCAAUCAAGCAAAGGAAGUUUUCACAAAUUUCCACCCAACUAGCGCCUUGAAUCACCGGCACGCCCUAAAACAUUCAAGAAACACAAUGAGGCUCGAAUACGAGUCAUAAACCCAAACCACAUAUCGCUAGUGUAAGGCCAAUAAAACCUAAAAAUGAUAUAAGAAACACUUGGGGUUAAGGGUUUAGACAACCCCAAAGUCACUAAUUAACACUCUAGCAACCCAAAUCCAAGAAAUCAUAUGAACCUAACAUUUGGACAGGAUUUCCCCUUAUAAUUUCAGAUUUCCAACCUACAAUUCAUCAUGCAUUUUCAAACAAUACAACCACAACUACAAGUACAAGUCCUACGUCAUUCAAUACGCAUUAUUAGGGUUACAAUACCGUUUAAACAAAGCCAAUUCAAGAGUUCCUUAAGAACCCUAGAACAGCCCCAAUUCAAAACCCUAAAUCUGAAAUUUUUCGUACAAAGCGGAAAUUUUUCACACAAAGCGGAAAUUUUUCGCAAAUAACUACAAUUAACACACCAAAGUACCAUUUUAGAUCAUACCAAGCCAUCAUCCAUGGCCAACCAACAUUAAUCCUAUAAAAUCAGAAAAACCAUGAAUAAAAAUAAAAAUUCAUCAAUCUCUACCAAAAGGCAUGAAAUCUUCCACAAAAUCAAUUCUUUAACUAGCACAAGUCACUAAUCAAACAUUAUCAAAAGCAAAAGAAGCCUUCCUUAGCCACUCACCUUGUAAAGUCAAGAAAAGAAACCACUUAACACCUCCUCUUUCCAAACCACUCCACCAACUACCUUAAUACUACUUAGCAAAGGAUUUUUAUGGAGAAAUUUGAAGUUUUAAUGGUUAGGUUGUGAGAUUGAGCAAGAUUGAGCAGAAGAAAGUUGGAGGUUUUCCUUUCUUUUGCUCCCUAAGAGAGUCGGCCAAGAGAGAGAUGUAUGAUGAUGAAUUUUGGGUCAAUUUCUUGGUUAUUUAGUAAAGUUGGUAAAAUAGUCAAAGUCCAACCUUUAAUCACAAAGUGAUACCUGUCACCUUUUUGGUUCAAAACUAUCCUUUUGUCUCUCUAAUACUAAUCCACCUAGGUAACCUCCAAUUACCUCCUAACACCUAGUAAAUUAAUCCCUGUAUACAAAACUUAACCCAAUUGGCCAAAUUUUAUCGAACUUACCGCACUAGCGGGUCCCACGUCCGGUAUACACUCUUAAUUUCUCAUGAACUAAUUUAUACUAGAAAAAUGAUCUUAAAACUAUAUUUACUCAUAAAAAUUAUCUAGAAAAUUUUCCUAAUAAAGAAAAAUAUAAAAAGGCAUGCAAUUAAAUAAAAUAAAUCCUAAAAAAUACGAAAAUUCCGGGUUCUCACACUCUCUCCCCCUUAAAGAAUUUCGUCUUCGAAAUUUCUCACCUUAAUUCACAAACAGUUCAGGGUAUUUCUUUUACAUUUCUUCUUCCACCUCCCAGGUAGCCUCUUCUAUCCCAUGAUUUCUCCACAAGAUCUUCACCAAAGGAAUUUGUUUGUUUCUCAGCUCCUUAACAUUUCGGUCAAGCAACUGCACAGGUUUCUCUUCGUAGGUGAGUGUUUCAUCUAUCUCAAUUUCCUCCGGUUGUAAGAUGUGAGAUGGGUCGGGAUAAUACUUCUUAAGCAUCGAGAUGUGGAAGACGUCGUGGAUCCUGGACAGAUUGAUGGUAGUUCAAGUCGAUACGCCACUUUCCCAAUUCUCUGGAGAAUUUUGAAAGGUCCGACGAACCUCGGUUGAAGUUUCUUUCCUCUACCCGUCGUGAAGCUUCGUAACGGUGUGACUUAUUGAAAAACAUGGUCCCCAAUUUCGAACUCCAGAUCUUUUCUUCGAUUGUCCGCGUAGCUCUUUUGUCGGCUUUGAGCUGUUUGGAGUCUUUGUCGUAUCAACUUGACUUUUUCUCGUGCAUCCUCCAUCCAUGGAAUAGCCGUUGGAUCUAGAACCUUCCCCUCCCCGACUUCAUCCCAAUAGAUUGGUGACUUGCACUUUCUCCCGUAAAGUGCUUCGUAUGGGGCCAUUUGAAUUGAUGAAUGGUAACUAUUAUUGUAGGCAAACUCUACUAAGGUCAUGUGUUAACCCCAACUAUCCCCAAAAUCUAAUAUACAAGUUCUUAAUAUAUCCUCAAGGGUCUGGAUGGUUCGCUCAGAUUGCCCGUCUGUCUGGGGGUGGUAUGUGGUACUAAGAUUUAGUUGGGUUCCCAAAGUCUCCUGAAAUUUCUACCAAAACCUAGACACAAAGCGGGGAUGUCUAUCCGAAACGAUACUCACCGGAACUCCAUGUAGUCUUACGAUCUCGUCCAUAUACACCUGAGUUAGUUUGUCCAUGGAAUACUUCAUGUUUACCAGUAAGAAAUGGGCCGAUUUGGUUAACCGAUCGACGAUUACCCAAACGGUAUCAUGUCCUCGUUGUGUUCGCGGCAAACUUAAAACGAAGUCCAUUGUGAUGUUUUCCCACUUCCAUUCGGGUAUUUCAAGAGGUUGUAACAAGUCAGAUAAUUUUUGAUGCUCCGCCUUAAUUUGUUGGCAAAUGAGACAUUUUUGCACCUAUUGGGUAAUUUCCUUCUUCAUGUUGUCCCACCAAUAGGCUCCUUUUAGAUCCUGGUACAUCUUAUUUGUGAGGACUCGCAAAAUUUACUUAUUUAAUCUCCUAUUUCUAGCUUAUUUAAUUAUUUAUUUGGCCUUUUACCCCGAAUAUUAUUUUCUAAGCUCUUGAGACCUAAUAACAUGGAAAUAUAGUUUCAUUAUAUUUUUAAAGUGACUUAUUUCAAAAAUUAAUUUUUGAAAGCUCGUUUAGUGAAAAUAGUGAACACGUCUUUGGAAAUCUUGACCGAUUGAGAGUACAAUAAGUUUGGAAUAUUGGAGACAUGUACAAUGGACCUAAAUUAGGUAUUUUAAUGUUUAAAUACUCAAGUGAUAGUUAUUAGUACUAUUGUUAUAAGAAUUUCUCGGAAGUUUCGCGUUAUCGCGCUUAAAUUGGAGAUACGCGUUUUCACACACGCGAUUUAAAUUGUGGAAUGUUAGACCCUUAUUUUGGGACAAUUGAGAGUGAAUAAUAUUUAUAUGAAUAUAAGUGCAUUAGAGGUUUAGUGCACUAGUGAAACAAACUCAAGAGGAAUCGAGCACGAAACGCGGGAAAAAGAGUUGACCUUUGAAUCAAUGAGAGCCACACAUUUUAGUUUCACAUGGGAGCAUCACACUAGAUUAAAACCCUCAAUAUACUUACCUCAAUUGCUGCCUCUUUUGCUUCCAUUCCAGCCGUGCAACAUCAAGAUAGAAAAGGACCAAGUUUACUUCACCAAAUUCCUUCAUCAAAUCUUCAUCAUACCUCUUCCAAUUCACUCCAAAUUCGAACUACACUUAACUAAACAUUUAGAGAUCCCAUUGAGCUAAGAAAAGGAGCUGUUAUUAACAGUUUUUCUUGUGCUAAGGAAGGCCAAAAAUUCUGACUUUUCUCACCACACAAGUAGGUAACGAUCAACUACCGAAAUCUUGUUUUAUGGAGAUUGAUUAACACCUUUAAGCUCUUGUAUUCAUAUGGGUGGUUGUUAUUGUUGGAAAAUUUGGAAGGUGGGCUCUAUGUGUGAGAACCCGUAACUUUUCCAUUUAUUAGGUUUUAUAAUUUUUCUAGGCUUUCUUAUAGUCAAUGGCUUGUUUCUACACUUUCUGUAUCCGGAAAAUUUUCUAGAUUAUUUUUACGAGUAAAUAUAGUUUUAAGAUGAUUUUUCUAGCAUUGGAGAAAUUUUAGAAAAUUAAGAGUAAAUAGUGGACGUGGGACCCACUAGUGCGAAAAGUUCGGAAAAAUUCGGCCAAUAAGGUUAAGUUUCGGAUACUGUUUAAAAUUUAUCGGGUGUUAAGAGAUUAGUAGAAUGUGUGAAGUGAUUGAUGUGAGAGAGGAAAGAAAGAUAAGAAUGCAUUUAUGGAGGUGACAAGUGUCACCUCCUCAUUGGAAGUUUUUUUAAGAAUUACUAUUCCCAAUUUUGACUUUUUUGACCAAAGGAUUAUAUAUCAAAAAAAUGCACAAAAAAUCACCAUUUUUCUUCUCUUGUUGGCCGGCCACCUUGAGCAAGGAAGGAAGAAACUUUCUUCACCAUUCAAGCUUCUACUUGUUGCAAAUCAACCAAAAACAUUGGUUACAUCCAAUUCCAUUCCAUACAAUCUUACCUUCUAGUGCUAGUAAGUUGUUUAUUGAAGCUUGGUUGAAGGUUUAAGGUGUUCAACAGCCUCUUCUCUCUUGUUUCUUGGUAAGUGAAGCUUAAACACCCUCUUACACCCUAUGAAGCUUAAAUUAUGCUUAGUAGUGCUUGAAGUGCUGAAAUUUCUGGUUUUAUCUUGGUUUGAAGUGAUUUGGUGAAGUUUUUCAUUUUAUUGAUGAUUUUUCUGGUUUAAUAUGAUCUUGAUGUUGGGUGCUUGUAUGAUGGAUUGUAAUGGUUGGAAAUGACUCUGGUGAGUGUGAAUUGUGGUUAAAUGCAAUCAAUUUUGGAUUUGGUGUGAAAAUUGAAAAGUUAGGGUUCUUAAAUCCCCUAUUCUGUCCGAAAUUUUAGGUCAUAGCUAGAGGCCGAAUUGGACUUUGCUCAAAACAUGAAAGUUGUAGGUAUUGGUGAGUAAGAAGUGCCUGCAAAAUUUCAGGGAAUUUGGAGUAGUAUAGAGAGAGUUAUGCCGUUUUUACUGUUGCUGUUUUUGGUGAACAGAAUGUGCGGAACUGCGAUAGUAAUUGCCUAUUUUGACUGGAUUUGGUUUGGAUUUUGAAGUUGGUGUCUUCUGAUGAAAUGUUACUGGAUGUCUUAGCUAUCAUAUUCCUUUGGAAUUUCGGCAUUUGGACUUGUAUAGACUGAGUUAUAGUAAUUACAGUUUUCUGUGUUUUGCAAACCUGUUUUGGUAAUUCUGGUAUAGUAUUUGGCACUUUCGACCUAGUUAAGCUAGGAACUGGAUUGAGUGCCCUUCUGCAUUGUUGUAGCCCUGUUUCAUAGCUUCGAAUCGGUGGGUCUUACACCCCCAUCCGACAUUUGUAGUGAGAGUUGUGCCAUUACCGCAUUAUGAGGUCAAAUCCGGUUUUCUUAUCAAGGCUUAGGUUAAAGCCCUUUCUUCAUUUCUGGUUUGCUUUCAUGCUGGUAUAUGUUUAUAAAACCCUAUUGGGGUUGUGAAUUGGUGUUGUUUAUGACUCGGUAUGGUUUCUUGUUUUAUGAUAUUGUGAGCCUAUGGAACGGCUCUUGACAUGAAAUGCUUAUCUGUGUGUUGUUGGGUUGUGAUUGAAGAAAAAUAAUGAAGCCUUAAUGGCUGGAAAAGUAAGAAUUUUAGGGGAAGUGCUGCCCGAUUUUCUAGGCCGUUGGUUCCUUUAAGUUGGAUUUGCCUUUUGGUAGAAUGAAAGGCUUUUGGGUUGUUUGCGCCUAAGUCUUCAUGUUACCUUUUUGUUUCCAAGAAAAUCAUGUUUUCCACCCUUGCAUUAGUAAUUAUUUUGGCGAGGCAUACGACUAGUAGUCGAGCCUCAUGUGCAUUGUGUUUACUCGAUUCUGGAAGUAAAACCUUCAAUUGAUUUAUUUUGAUUAUUUUAGGGUUUCUUGGCGAUUAAGGCCAAUCUGAAGUGAAAACUUCUGAAGUUGAGCCGGUGAGUGUACCACUCCCCUCCAUUGCUGUUUAACUUGAUUUCUGCUCUGCAAUCUGUUUAUUUGUUCGAGACGAGGGUGUACUUUAUCACACUCGUUCUCUAGUCUGUUCAUAUGCCAAUUUACUAUGCAAAAUUUGAAUCUGUUAUCUGUGUCUGCAUCUGUUUGGAUUUCUAUGACCUAUGAACUCAAUCCUGUGGCUAAGUUAUUCGAGUCGGGCCGGCAAGGGCCUGGACGAUUAGAUAACGAACCACGGUAGUCUGUUCGGGGAUUUUUGGGUAUUGAGACCCUUGAUUCCGGUAUACUCGAGUAUUACCAUUUUUGUUCGUUUGAGGUGAGCGUGCCCGGUAAAGGGGUGUUUGGUGGACGGAAUUCGGUGAUAAGAGGGGUCUACGGACGCAUUGGUUCUAUAUACGUUGACGGAGAGUCAACCAGUUUGGAUCAAGUAUUGCGCUGGAAAUUUGGCUCCUGAGAGCCACCCGUAUCCUUCUGAUUUGAAUCAUUGGUUCCUUUGCUUUACAUCUGACAUGUGUAUCUGAUUUGUUAAAUGUGAAAUGCCAUGAUUUUAAUGCUAUCUGUUUGGUACCUCAUUGAGCGCAAGCUCACCCCGUUCUGUUCCUUUUGUUUUCCUUACAGGAAAAAUAAAUACUUUUGGACUGGAUUUGAUAAUCGGUUGCCGACUUGAGCUAGUUGAACAUAUCUUUUGUAUAGCUCAUGUAUUAAAACCCUAAGUGUACUUUUGGGGCGUUUCUCUUUUGAUUUGGCAAACCGUGUAUAUGUGUUAUCUUUUGAAAGCUUUUGUAUGUCCUUUUGGAUUGUAAUCGCUAAAGUUCAGAUGUGAAUGUUUGCGUGCUCUUUCGGUUGGGUUUUGACGGAUCGGUUACUAUUCAUGACCGACUCCGGAUUUCAUUUUUUAUUUUGGGUUAUUUUACCAUUUUGACCUGUUUACGCUCGUUUGUAAGUUCCGGAUCGCAAUAGAUAGCUCUAAUCUGAUCCGUAGUCCUGGCGAGAGCUGGGCAGGCAGUCCGCUAACCCCUUUGGUUCGCCUUAGGGGAAAGUGGGGCUGUUACAAUUGGUAUCAGAGCCACUUCGCGUGAUCUCUGCGCGGAGUGAGACUGGGCCAAGUGGUGUUGUGGUCCUAAUUUCAUGAAUAUGUCUAAGUGCUCGUUUGAGCGUAAGUUAUGAACCGGGCAUGUGAUAAGUGUACGAAUCAUUAUCAUAGGACUCGAGGAAGCUAGGUAUGUAUGUCGGGUAGGAAUCUUUAAUAAGGAUGGUUUACUCUUGGGACCGGCCGGCUCGAGUUGUGAAUUAUCUUAGAUGGGAUUCUUGUGCCCGGAUACGGAAGAGAUGAGAGCCUAGGUUAAAAAGGACUUGGGCGAACUAGAAAUGUGAUUCCAUGGAACUUCGCGUGGUCUAUUCGGGUAUUGUUAAGCCUGAUCACUCUUGAUUAAGAUAUAAACGGUGUUGUUAAGCCUGACUCGUCUGAGGACGUAGAAGGUACUUUAGAUUUGAUAGAUUCCGUUGAUAAGAAAAUUUCGAGGGCGAAAUUUCUUUAAGGGGGAGAGAGUGUGAGAACCCGUAACUUUUCCAUUUAUUAGGUUUUAUAAUUUUUCUAGGCUUUCUUAUAGUCAAUGGCUUGUUUCUACACUUUCUGUAUCCGGAAAAUUUUCUAGAUUAUUUUUACGAGUAAAUAUAGUUUUAAGAUGAUUUUUCUAGCAUUGGAGAAAUUUUAGAAAAUUAAGAGUAAAUAGUGGACGUGGGACCCACUAGUGCGAAAAGUUCGGAAAAAUUCGGCCAAUAAGGUUAAGUUUCGGAUACUGUUUAAAAUUUAUCGGGUGUUAAGAGAUUAGUAGAAUGUGUGAAGUGAUUGAUGUGAGAGAGGAAAGAAAGAUAAGAAUGCAUUUAUGGACGUGACAAGUGUCACCUCCUCAUUGGAAGUUUUUUUUAAGAAUUACUAUUCCCAAUUUUGACUUUUUUGACCAAAGGAUUAUAUAUCAAAAAAAUGCACAAAAAAUCACCAUUUUUCUUCUCUUGUUGGCCGGCCACCUUGAGCAAGGAAGGAAGAAACUUUCUUCACCAUUCAAGCUUCUACUUGUUGCAAAUCAACCAAAAACAUUGGUUACAUCCAAUUCCAUUCCAUACAAUCUUACCUUCUAGUGCUAGUAAGUUGUUUAUUGAAGCUUGGUUGAAGGUUUAAGGUGUUCAACAACCUCUUCUCUCUUGUUUCUUGGUAAGUGAAGCUUGAACACCCUCUUACACCCUAUGAAGCUUAAAUUAUGCUUAGUAGUGCUUGAAGUGCUGGAAUUUCUGGUUUUAUCUUGGUUUGAAGUGAUUUGGUGAAGUUUUUCAUUUUAUUGAUGAUUUUUCUGGUUUAAUAUGAUCUUGAUGUUGGGUGCUUGUAUGAUGGAUUGUAAUGGUUGGAAAUGACUCUAGUGAGUGUGAAUUGUGGUUAAAUGCAAUCAAUUUUGGAUUUGGUGUGAAAAUUGAAAAGUUAGGGUUCUUAAAUCCCCUAUUCUGUCCGAAAUUUUAGGUCAUAGCUAGAGGCCGAAUUGGACUUUGCUCAAAACAUGAAAGUUGUAGGUAUUGGUGAGUAAGAAGUGCCUGCAAAAUUUCAGGGAAUUUGGAGUAGUAUAGAGAGAGUUAUGCCGUUUUUACUGUUGCUGUUUUUGGUGAACAGAAUGUGCGGAACUGCGAUAGUAAUUGCCUAUUUUGACUGGAUUUGGUUUGGAUUUUGAAGUUGGUGUCUUCUGAUGAAAUGUUACUGGAUGUCUUAGCUAUCAUAUUCCUUUGGAAUUUCGGCAUUUGGACUUGUAUAGACUGAGUUAUAGUAAUUACAGUUUUCUGUGUUUUGCAAACCUGUUUUGGUAAUUCUGGUAUAGUAUUUGGCACUUUCGACCUAGUUAAGCUAGGAACUGGAUUGAGUGCCCUUCUGCAUUGUUGUAGCCCUGUUUCAUAGCUUCGAAUCGGUGGGUCUUACACCCCCAUCCGACAUUUGUAGUGAGAGUUGUGCCAUUACCGCAUUAUGAGGUCAAAUCCGGUUUUCUUAUCAAGGCUUAGGUUAAAGCCCUUUCUUCAUUUCUGGUUUGCUUUCAUGCUGGUAUAUGUUUAUAAAACCCUAUUGGGGUUGUGAAUUGGUGUUGUUUAUGACUCGGUAUGGUUUCUUGUUUUAUGAUAUUGUGAGCCUAUGGAACGGCUCUUGACAUGAAAUGCUUAUCUGUGUGUUGUUGGGUUGUGAUUGAAGAAAAAUAAUGAAGCCUUAAUGGCUGGAAAAGUAAGAAUUUUAGGGGAAGUGCUGCCCGAUUUUCUAGGCCGUUGGUUCCUUUAAGUUGGAUUUGCCUUUUGGUAGAAUGAAAGGCUUUUGGGUUGUUUGCGCCUAAGUCUUCAUGUUACCUUUUUGUUUCCAAGAAAAUCAUGUUUUCCACCCUUGCAUUAGUAAUUAUUUUGGCGAGGCAUACGACUAGUAGUCGAGCCUCAUGUGCAUUGUGUUUACUCGAUUCUGGAAGUAAAACCUUCAAUUGAUUUAUUUUGAUUAUUUUAGGGUUUCUUGGCGAUUAAGGCCAAUCUGAAGUGAAAACUUUUGAAGUUGAGCCGGUGAGUGUACCACUCCCCUCCAUUGCUAUUUAACUUGAUUUCUGCUCUGCAAUCUGUUUAUUUGUUCGAGACGAGGGUGUACUUUAUCACACUCGUUCUCUAGUCUGCUCAUAUGCCAAUUUACUAUGCAAAAUUUGAAUCUGUUAUCUGUGUCUGCAUCUGUUCGGAUUUCUGUUCGGAUUUCUAUGACCUAUGAGCUCAAUCCUGUGGCUAAGUUAUUUGAGUCGGGCCGGCAAGGGCCUGGACGAUUAGAUAACGAACCACGGUAGUCUGUUCGGGGAUUUUGGGUAUUGAGACCCUUGAUUCCGGGUAUACUCGAGUAUUACCAUUUUUGUUCGUUUGAGGUGAGCGGGCCCGGUAAAGGGGUGUUUGGUGGACGGAAUUCGGUGAUAAGAGGGGUCUACGGACGCAUUGGUUCUAUAUACGUUGACGGAGAGUCAACCGGUUUGGAUCAAGUAUUGCGCUGGAAAUUUGGCUCCUGAGAGCCACCCGUAUCCUUCUGAUUUGAAUCAUUGGUUCCUUUGCUUUACAUCUGACAUGGGUAUCUGAUUUGUUAAAUGUGAAAUGCCAUGAUUUUAAUGCUAUCUGUUUGGUACCUCAUUGAGCGCAAGCUCACCCCGUUCUGUUCCUUUUGUUUUCCUUACAGGAAAAAUAAAUACUUUUGGACUGGAUUUGAUAAUCGGUUGCCGACUUGAGCUAGUUGAACAUAUCUUUUGUAUAGCUCAUGUAUUAAAACCCUAAGUGUACUUUUGGGGCGUUUCUCUUUUGAUUUGGCAAACCGUGUAUAUGUGUUAUCUUUUGAAAGCUUUUGUAUGUCCUUUUGGAUUGUAAUCGCUAAAGUUCAGAUGUGAAUGUUUGCGUGCUCUUUCGGUUGGGUUUUGACGGAUCGGUUACUAUUCAUGACCGACUCCGGAUUUCAUUUUUUAUUUUGGGUUAUUUUACCAUUUUGACCUGUUUACGCUCGUUUGUAAGUUCCGGAUCGCAAUAGAUAGCUCUAAUUUGAUCCGUAGUCCUGGCGAGAGCUGGGCAGGCAGUCCGCUAACCCCUUUGGUUCGCCUUAGGGGAAAGUGGGGCUGUCACAAUUGGUAUCAGAGCCACUUCGCGUGGUCUCUGCGCGGAGUGAGACUGGGCCAAGUGGUGUUGUGGUCCUAAUUUCAUGAAUAUGUCUAAGUGCUCGUUUGAGCGUAAGUUAUGAACCGGGCAUGUGAUAAGUGUACGAAUCAUUAUCAUAGGACUCGAGGAAGCUAGGUAUGUAUGUCGGGUAGGAAUCUUUAAUAAGGAUGGUUUACUCUUGGGACCGGCCGGCUCGAGUUGUGAAUUAUCUUAGAUGGGAUUCUUGUGCCCGGAUACGGAAGAGAUGAGAGCCUAGGUUAAAAAGGACUUGGGCGAACUAGAAAUGUGAUUCCAUGGAACUUCGCGUGGUCUAUUCGGGUAUUGUUAAGCCUGAUCACUCUUGAUUAAGAUAUAAACGGUGUUGUUAAGCCUGACUCGUCUGAGGACGUAGAAGGUACUUUAGAUUUGAUAGAUUCCGUUGAUAAGAAAAUUUCGAGGGCGAAAUUUCUUUAAGGGGGAGAGAGUGUGAGAACCCGUAACUUUUCCAUUUAUUAGGUUUUAUAAUUUUUCUAGGCUUUCUUAUAGUCAAUGGCUUGUUUCUACACUUUCUGUAUCCGGAAAAUUUUCUAGAUUAUUUUUACGAGUAAAUAUAGUUUUAAGAUGAUUUUUCUAGCAUUGGAGAAAUUUUAGAAAAUUAAGAGUAAAUAGUGGACGUGGGACCCACUAGUGCGAAAAGUUCGGAAAAAUUCGGCCAAUAAGGUUAAGUUUCGGAUACUGUUUAAAAUUUAUCGGGUGUUAAGAGAUUAGUAGAAUGUGUGAAGUGAUUGAUGUGAGAGAGGAAAGAAAGAUAAGAAUGCAUUUAUGGACGUGACAAGUGUCACCUCCUCAUUGGAAGUUUUUUUUAAGAAUUACUAUUCCCAAUUUUGACUUUUUUGACCAAAGGAUUAUAUAUCAAAAAAAUGCACAAAAAAUCACCAUUUUUCUUCUCUUGUUGGCCGGCCACCUUGAGCAAGGAAGGAAGAAACUUUCUUCACCAUUCAAGCUUCUACUUGUUGCAAAUCAACCAAAAACAUUGGUUACAUCCAAUUCCAUUCCAUACAAUCUUACCUUCUAGUGCUAGUAAGUUGUUUAUUGAAGCUUGGUUGAAGGUUUAAGGUGUUCAACAACCUCUUCUCUCUUGUUUCUUGGUAAGUGAAGCUUGAACACCCUCUUACACCCUAUGAAGCUUAAAUUAUGCUUAGUAGUGCUUGAAGUGCUGGAAUUUCUGGUUUUAUCUUGGUUUGAAGUGAUUUGGUGAAGUUUUUCAUUUUAUUGAUGAUUUUUCUGGUUUAAUAUGAUCUUGAUGUUGGGUGCUUGUAUGAUGGAUUGUAAUGGUUGGAAAUGACUCUAGUGAGUGUGAAUUGUGGUUAAAUGCAAUCAAUUUUGGAUUUGGUGUGAAAAUUGAAAAGUUAGGGUUCUUAAAUCCCCUAUUCUGUCCGAAAUUUUAGGUCAUAGCUAGAGGCCGAAUUGGACUUUGCUCAAAACAUGAAAGUUGUAGGUAUUGGUGAGUAAGAAGUGCCUGCAAAAUUUCAGGGAAUUUGGAGUAGUAUAGAGAGAGUUAUGCCGUUUUUACUGUUGCUGUUUUUGGUGAACAGAAUGUGCGGAACUGCGAUAGUAAUUGCCUAUUUUGACUGGAUUUGGUUUGGAUUUUGAAGUUGGUGUCUUCUGAUGAAAUGUUACUGGAUGUCUUAGCUAUCAUAUGCCUUUGGAAUUUCGGCAUUUGGACUUGUAUAGACUGAGUUAUAGUAAUUACAGUUUUCUGUGUUUUGCAAACCUGUUUUGGUAAUUCUGGUAUAGUAUUUGGCACUUUCGACCUAGUUAAGCUAGGAACUGGAUUGAGUGCCCUUCUGCAUUGUUGUAGCCCUGUUUCAUAGCUUCGAAUCGGUGGGUCUUACACCCCCAUCCGACAUUUGUAGUGAGAGUUGUGUUUUCUUAUCAAGGCUUAGGUUAAAGCCCUUUCUUCAUUUCUGGUUUGCUUUCAUGCUGGUAUAUGUUUAUAAAACCCUAUUGGGGUUGUGAAUUGGUGUUGUUUAUGACUCGGUAUGGUUUCUUGUUUUAUGAUAUUGUGAGCCUAUGGAACGGCUCUUGACAUGAAAUGCUUAUCUGUGUGUUGUUGGGUUGUGAUUGAAGAAAAAUAAUGAAGCCUUAAUGGCUGGAAAAGUACUUCUGUCAAUGUUGAAUUCCAGAACAAAGAUAUCCGGAGAUUCGAAUAUGACAUCCGUUGGCCAAAACUGUGUCACUUUGUAAAAAAAAUAUUCUUGUGCAAAUACAUUUGUUUUUAUCGAACUAAAUUUUCCUCAAUUGCUUGUAUUCAUGGCAUUUUGUAGAUUUAAGUACGGUUGGUUGUGUUUACAUUCUUUUUGCGUAACAUGUGAAAUUACCUUGCAUGAAUCAUUUUUUUAAUCAUCGAAUUUUGGUGAAUAACAACCCCCGUGGUUUAUUCAAAGCAUACUUGGGUUCAGUCAUCUUUCGAAAAUGGUUGAGAUUCAGCAAAGCCGGCUACGCAAGUUUCACAACAUCGCAAAGCGCAUACCGGGUCAGUCUGGAGAAAUGCCACAGCAAAAAGUUGACGAACGUAGCACAAAAACUCAUGUUUACACGAUUUUCGAAGGCGAGUGGAUACAAUGAUGGUGGCAAUUUCUUUAUUUUUCUCUUUUGCAGGAAAAUUUCAAAUGAAAAUAACAACACAACACACUGGGGCAAAUCUUUGGAUAAAUUUUCAAGUAAGUCUUAUACAGUUUCUUCAUACAUAACAGCAUUGCAUUUUGCACUGCCACUAGCCGUGGGUCAGUCCCACUAGUGAGCAUUUUAUUUUGCACUGCCACUAGCCGUGGGUCAGUCCCACUAGUGAGCAUUUCAUUUGGCAUCGCCACUAGCCGUGGGUCAGUCCCACUAGUGAGCAUUUUAUUUUGCACUACCACUAGCCGUGGGUCAGUCCCACUAGUGAGCAUUUUAUUGUGCAUCACCACUAGCCGUGGGUCAGUCCCACUAGUGAGCAUUUUAAUUUGCAUCGCCACUAGCCGUGGGUCAGUCCCACUAGUGAGCAUUUAUUUUGCAUCGCCACUAGCCGUGGGUCAGUCCCACUAGUGAGCAUUUUAUUGUGCAUCACCACUAGCCGUGGGUCAGUCCCACUAGUGAGCAUUUCAUUUUACACUACCACUAGCCGUGGGUCGGUCCCACUAGUUUGCAUUUCACUUUCAUUGCCACUAAACAUGGGUCGGUCCCACUAGUAAGCAUUUCACUUUCAUUACCACUAAACAUGGGUCAGUCCCACUAGUGCGCAUUUCAUUUUCAUUUUCACUAAAAUGGGUCAGUCCCUUUUUUAAAUUUCCUGUCUCGGGUCAGUCCCAAUUUUAAAUUUCCUGUUCGGGUCAGUCCCGUUUAAAUUUCCUGUUCAGGUCAGUCCCGUUUUAAAUUUCGUGUUUGGGUCAGUCCCGUUUAAAUUUCCUAUUUGGGGUCAGACCUCAUUUCAAAAAUGGCAGUCAUUCGACUAGUUUGCAGCUGGAUAACCACAGGUAAGUAUUUGGUGUCUACUUCUUUGUCUCAAGUUUUUUCAAAACUCAGACAAGGAAAGGCAAACUGUAGACACCAACUUUUUAAAUAAUUUUUAUUUUUUGUUUUUAGUGAUAAUUCUUGUCUAUAUUUUAUUUGUUCAUUUCAUGAUUUUGGUUUUAGACUUUUAGCAUUUGUAUAGCAUUUUAGAUUAUUAUUAUUAUCUAUGAUUUUAUUUUAGAUUAUUUUUAUUUUUUGCAUUCAUUUUUGUCCGUUUAGCUAUUUAUUUUUUUUAUUGUUAAGACUUUUAGCAUAAAAUUUGUCAAAAGAGAAAAUUAUUCACAAAAAAUAUAUAUAAAAUAUGUUUUAUUCUUUUUUUACUGUUUAAUUAAUUGAAAAAAAGGAGAAAAAGAAGAGAAAAAAGGAGAGCUCAUGCAUGCGUGAGCUGCACAUGACCCAAGCUCUCAGCUUAGAAACCAUGCGCGAAAAUGCAAAGGAAAUGCAGCUUUGUCCCAUUUUAUUUUCCACCAUUUGUUCCACUAUUUUUUCUCACCAUCGGAUCUUUCUCAUACCCUUCCACCUGGCCUUCAUCUAAGAGGCUCAAGUUCAUGUGAAGAAAGCGCCAUCUGAUGGCUUAGAACCCGUAAAAAGAAAAAGACAGCAAGCUGGCCAUUGGAUGUUAGGGCUAAGAGGUCUUUGUAACUAUAAAAGGAAAGAAGGAGUGCGUUAGGAGAGGAGGCUAAUGACGGCUGAGGGAGAGUUUGAGUAGAAUCUGGGAGGGCGGCUAGGUUUUAGGAAAAGAGAGCUGGGGAGAAAACUAGAAAAAAGUCAGAAAGAACGAGGAAUAGAGGAGAUUGAGAGAGGUUAUCGGCUGGGGAAAGAAAUUAGAGCGUCGGGGAAGAAAAAACUGAGCGAGGAGGAACGAAAAGAAAGAAGCUACGGGGGGAAGAAACCAGAAGAAGGGGGGAAUGAAAGACAAAGGAAAACCGAGAGAGUGAGGAGAGUUUGGGAGAGCUUGAGGCAGCAAAAAUCUGGAAUCAAGAGAGUUGCAGGCUGAGGAAGUCAGGAAAAGAAGAUCAGGAGGGAACGUGAGGAGAAGCAAGAAAGGGUUCACUGGUUUUCUCCAUAGAUCCACGGCUUCUAUCGUUUCUUCAGGUUUAUCUGUAAGUUCACCUAAUUCUAGACUUUAUUUGAAGCCUAUGGAUGAAAUUUUGUUGGUUUUUCUCUCCAUAAAGCUGUUGAGAAAGCUAUGAGCCGUGAAUAUUGUGUUUUGUUUGUUUCUUGUCUUUUUCCUGUUUCUGUUGUCAAAGGAAGAAGGAUAACGCAGGAAAAGUUUGAACCUUUGCACAUAAAAAUCUGCUGCAACAAGCUUAAAGCUUUCGGCUUGUUGCAGCAGCGUGGACAGACUUUUUCUCUCUUUGGUUGCUGAAUUUUUUUUUGGUUUGUUUGAAGUGCUUGGUUUGCUUGUUAUUUGAUUGGAGUAUCAUGUGCAUGCUUGCCGUGGGUUCCUUCCUUUGCAUCUUUCCUGCAUUUUUCAUAGCUAGUUGCACUUUUGAAUAUGUUGGAAAAGCGUAGAAUAAUUUUUUGCUGCAACAAGCUUGUAGCUUUCGUUUUGUCGCAGCAAUUUUGACACAAAAAAUACAAUCUUUGGGUUACCAAGCUUCUGGAAUGACUUGAAAUCUCUUUUGAGUUUUGCUUAUUGCUUAAUGGUAGUUGGGUUCGCAGUUAUGUUUGCAGUCUUUGCAAUCUUCCUGGGUGGGUGAUAGACGGCAAAGUUGCAGAGAAAAUGCGUGCCGCAAGUUCCUUCCUUUUUUUUUUCUCAGUUUUUUCUGCAAUUUUUCGCACCUGAUGCAGCGUGACUUGUUUUUUUUUUUUAAAAAAAAGAAACUCUUAAUGGUUCUCACCAGAGUCUGAGCUCCCGUUUGGCUGAUUCUGGUUUUAAUUUCGUAUUACCUUCGGUCAUACAUGGUUGUUUUCCCAGUCUCUUGUGCCUUUAGUUUUUUUUCACACAUUGUAUGAUUCUAUCCCUGAAGUUUAGUUUACCAAGGUUGGGGAAUGUGGUUUACGUUCUUGCUGCCCCUAUCAAAAUGGUAUGGUGUAGUUCUCUUGGUUUCCUUCUUGUGUGGCAGCUUUGCAUGAUGAAUAGCUGAAAGAUGUAGAAAUUUCAUGAGUUGUUGCAAGCCUUGGUUAUAGAACAAUAUCUCGUAGCUUGCAUGAAACUUGCGUGAAAAUGUUCCAAUAAUCACAUUCUAACCGUCAAGUUCUCUUUUGUUCUACCAUGGCCGAAAAAUUGGAAAAAAUGAAUUAUUGUGUCCCUUUAACAUGAUUUCUUUUUUUUUGGUAUGCCUUAAUAUGCUUUUGGACAGAUUAUAUGUGAGUUUUAGGAAGAAAUUGGAAGUCUAAUAAUUUUUAUGGAUUUAUAAUUUUUUGAUUUGGGUUUUUGCAAAAGAUUUAGGUAGUUCUUUUUGUUAUUUAAUCUUAGCAAGUGGAGCAAGUGAGUUUCGAUUCAUUUUUGUGAAGUUUAGCAUUUGGUUUUGAUUGGUUUCAUCUUAAGCCUUAAUUCUGAUUUAUUUUGAUUUUACUCUCCUGAUGUUUGUAAUAAUAAUUUGACCCCUCAAGUUUUUUUUUAAUUGUUUCAAUUGGGUCCUUAUUUGUUUUUAAUUUAUCGAAUAUGAGUUGUUUAUUUUUAUUUGAAUGAUUUGAGUGACUCAAUUUCCUGUUUAUUUUCAUUUCAUGUUAUUAAAGUGAUGCCUUGACCUUUUUUAUUAUUUUGGAGGGUAAAUAAGUAAAUUCGUGUCACUAGGGUCCCGACUCAAGGGAGGUACACUCUAUCCCUUAUUUUCAUUUAUUUGACCCUGUGUGCAUUAUAUGACUUUAUGUGUUUAAAUUGCAUGCCCUCUUGAAAGUUUUUUAUCCAAUUUCUUUAUUUGCUUUAUUUGUUUAAAUUUUGAGUAUUUAUUUCAUUUUCCUCUCAAUUUUAAUUAUUUGAAAGGCAUUUAAAUGCCAAGCUGUAAUAGUUACGUAUUUAUUUUAAUUAUUCUAUCUCAUUUUCCCCUUUUAGAUUGUAGUAGGCCCCCUCAAAUGUAAUAGUUAGGGCUUAUUUGCCUUGCGUGAUUUGCAUGCUUACGUGCUAUGUGUUACCGCUUUCUUAGGGUCUUGCAUCUAGAUAGCAUGAUUACGUGUUAUGUGUUUUUGUGAUAUUAUGCGUUUACUCGCUUUAUUAUGUUUUUAUGAGAUUAUAAUUAAUGAUUGACGUUAUCACACUAGUCCAAUGCUAGUUGUGAUCCAUUUCUCGAUACCACACUAGUCCAACGCUAGUUGUGGUUUCCUUGUUCGAUUUCUCACUAGUCCAACGCUAGUGAGAAAGUAGAAACAUGGGCUAGUCCAACGCUAGACCCUUAGGAGCCCUUCGCGCGUUAGAUCAUGAUUGUGCGAUAAAAUCACUUCAUCUCAUGCAUAUCUUUACUUUUUAUGGUCUCUUUCACCAUAUUGCAUGACACUUUCCUUAUAUAUGUAUACCCCUUCCCCCAUAUUUUCCCUUAUAUGUAUAUUACUUGCCCCUUUUGUAUGAAACAUGACAUUAGACUUGCAUUUUAUAUAUAAGCAUUAGAACUAGGUUAGUUCAUUUGCUUGAUUGGAUUAGGGAACAACUCCUUUGGAUAUGGGAUAUGGACGAGUUUGGCUUUCUAGACUUAGCACGCUCGUAUUCCCUCUAUUAAAGGGAAAAUUGAGUCACGAACAUUAGUCCCCCGUACCCGACAUGAUGCAUUCCUUUAAGACAUGUAUAUUUCUAUAAUUAUUUUAUCCAUUUCCUUUUCUUAGAAUCUCAUAUUUUUGAUUUAUUCGUGACCUCUCCAAAGAGUCAUUAUUGGGCAUCACAAUUAAUGUGAUUGGCACCAUUCAAGCUUUGAAAAGAAAUUUUGCCCCCCGAUGCCCUCCUAGGUUUAGGGUAUGCAUUCAUAUAGUACAUCCAAAUGUGAUGAAUCUUAAGGUUAAAACAAGAAAAUCUUUGACUAAAUCACGCAACUAGCCUUGGCUAGGUCGAAGGGGUGCCUUGGAUUUUUGUCCUUGCCUUCCCCUUCGUCAAAUGUGACUCCCGAACCUUUCCUUUGAUUUUCCUAGACUAGGAGUCGUUUAAAAUGGGUUUUUCUAUUUUUUCGAAAAAUUCAUUUUUAGGUGACUUGGUACACCUUAACUCAAUACCAAGUGGCGACUCCGAUUUUUAUUUCAAAACCCUUUUUAAACUUAUUUUGGGUCAAAAUCGUCGCAUUACAAAGUCCCAUUUAGGCCCAUUUCAUUUUCUUUACUUACUUCCCUUUUCAAUCAAAAAUUCACUUUUUAAACCAUUUAUUUAUUUUAUUAAAAAUGGGGCGCGACAUAGAUAAUGGAUCUGAUAUUGACCAAAAUGCCGAGUUAAGUGCUGGGAGAGGAAAUGACCAAAUGGGACAAGUUUUAACUCGCAUGACGGAUAUCCUAGAGCUCUUAGUAGCUCAACAAGGUCAAGGUGUUGGACAAGGAAACCAAUGGGAAACCAAGAAAUAGGGGAGGAUCGAGCUUUAGAGCGGUUUCAGAAAUUUUUCCCGCCAAGUUUGCUGGAGGACCUGAUCCAGAGGUGGCUGAGAAUUGGUUAGAGAAUAUAAGAAAUAUAUUCGAUGCCUUGGAUUACACAGAGGAGAGACAAGUCACCUUUGCUGUAUUUCAACUUGAAGGAGCAGCCAAGCAUGGUGGAAUGUUAUAAGAAACAAGUGGGAAAGGGAUCAAACCCUAAGGACUUGGAUAAACUUUGUACGUGAAUUUAAUGAGAAAUUUCUUCCUCCACUUGUCCAAGAAAAGAGAGAAGAUGAUUUUAUAAAGCUUCGUCAAGGAACUUUAAGUGUAGCUGAGUAUGAAACACGCUUUACAAAGUUAUCUACAUAUGCCCCAGAAUUGGCUACUGAACGGAAGAGAAUAAGACGGUUUAUCCAAGGAUUAGAUUUGGAAAUCCAAGAUGCCCUUGCCGCAGCACAGGUUGAAAUAUUUAGUGACGCUCUCGAAAAAGCGCAAAGGGUAGAAAGCACAAAAUCUCAACUAAGAGCUUUUCAAGCAAGAAAAAGAGAUGCAUCUGACAGUACACUAGGAGAAAAUGGACCACCACCCAAAGUUAGAAAAGAAGUGGAUGGAGUAGGACUGUUAUUUCCUGCACCACUCAUGAUAAAGGAACCAAAAGGAACUAUGUCGCGAGGGACUUCAGUAGGACAGACACGAUCAAAGAAAACCUCGCAAGCAAGUCAGGUCACAACACCUCGUCCGACUUGUGGAUAUUGUGGAAGGACGAAUCACACUGAAGAAAACUGUUGGCUAAAGGGACGAAAGUGUAUGGGGUGUAGGAGUACCAACCACAAAGUUCAUGACUGUCCAAGGAGAUAUCCACGAGAAACUACUGCUCAACAAGGAAAUGGAACUGUCCCUCGACAAGUCAAUGGAAGAGAAACCGAUCAGUGGCAUCUGAAAGAACACAUGACAUGAACACACCACACGGUUCAGAGUUGUCUGAGAUUACAGAAGGUAUGAAUUUCGAGACGAAAUUCUUUUAAGGAGGGGAGGUUGUGAGGACUCGCAAAAUUUACUUAUUUAAUCUCCUAUUUCUAGCUUAUUUAAUUAUUUAUUUGGCCUUUUACCCCGAAUAUUAUUUUCUAAGCUCUUGAGACUAAUUACAUGGAAAUAUAGUUUCAUUAUAUUUUUAAAGUGACUUGUUUCAAAAAUUAAUUUCGAAAGCUCGUUUAGUGAAAAUAGUGAACACGUCUUUGGAAAUCUUGACCGAUUGAGAGUACAAUAAGUUUGGAAUAUUGGAGACAUGUACAAUGGACCUAAAUUAGGUAUUUUAAUGUUUAAAUACUCAAGUGAUAGUUAUUAGUACUAUCGUUAUAAGAAUUUCUCGGAAGUUUCGCGUUAUCGCGCUUAAAUUGGAGAUACGCGUUUUCACACGCGCGAUUUAAAUUGAGGAACGUUAGACCCUUAUUUUGGGACAAUUGAGAGUGAAUAAUAUUUAUAUGAAUAUAAGUGCAUUAGAGGUUUAGUGCACUAGUGAAACAAACUCGAGAGGAAUCGAGCACGAAACGCGGGAAAAAGAGUUGACCUUUGAAUCAAUGAGAGCCACACAUUUUAGUUUCACAUGGGAGCAUCACACUAGAUUAAAACCCUCCAUAUACUUACCUCAAUUGCUGCCUCUUUUGCUUCCAUUCCAGCCGUGCAACAUCAAGAUAGAAAAGGACCAAGUUUACUUCACCAAAUUCCUUCAUCAAAUCUUCAUCAUCUCUUCCAAUUCACUCCAAAUUCGAACUACACUUAACUAAACAUUUAGAGAUCCCAUUGAGCUAAGAAAAGGAGCUGUUAUUCAUUUUUCUUGUGCUAAGGAAGGCCAAAAAUUCUGACUUUGCUCACCACACAAGUAGGUAACGAUCAACUACCGAAAUCUUGUUUUAUGGAGGUUGAUUAACACCUUUAAGCUCUUGUAUUCAUAUGGGUGGUUGUUAUUGUUGGAAAAUUUGGAAGGUGGGCUCUAUGAACUCCCACCCUUGUCUUGAUGGCUGAUGUGAUGAUUGAUGAUGAAUUUAAUGUUGGUUUAGUGCUCAAAAUGGUAGAUUAAUGGUGUAUUAUUAGUAUGAACUUCAAGAGAUGCAUGGGGUAAAAGUUCCGAUUCUGCCCCUGCUUUGAACGUACCUAUUUCUGCGGAAUUUUUGAGGUUCUAAUGACUUGUUUAUGAUGUAUACAUGUUAUAUGAGUUGUGUAGAAAGUUUCAUUGAAAAAUAACAUGAUUUGGUUGGUCAAAUGAGUUGAUUUCCAAAGUUAGCAAAACUGGAAAAUGAAUCCCGUAUUGCCCAGGCAGUCAUUUUGUAUCGGCCAUAACCUUUCUUGAUGUCAAAAUUAAGUGCCGUUUGUGGCACUGGAAACUAGACAUUCCCAGCUUUCCAUUGGUAUAAAAUACAUGACCUAGUUCCACUCGAGUGAGCCACACCAUUCGUUUGAAAAUCACUGCCCUGUUUCGUUGCUCUCCAGGAGACAGGACAGAAAUUACUUCUUGAUGCUCAAAAACGAGCUGUUUGUGGAUAGAAUUUGAAAAUGGUUUCUUCUGAGAAAAUUCAGCUUUAUGAGAGAGCUUUCCAACGCCAUCAACCACGCCCAAUUCCAAGUUGAAUUGAGUGAGUUGUGGCCAAAGUUUGAAACUGCUACAGUGAUAGAAUUUUCCACUUGGACAGAUUUGUAACUAACAAUGAUUUGGGACUUGUUGUUUUGGAAACUUUGAUGUCCAACAUCUACCAAACUUUAUAUUAGAUGUUCCUUGGACUUUGUUUCACAAAUAAACCAGAUUUGGGGUUGCUUUGGACAAAAUGUUUAAAAAGGAAAGAAGAGCUAGAAGACAGUUUUACCUUGGGAAAUUUCUUGAACUUUGAUGGUUUAGUUAACUACCUUCCCGUGUGAAUUUUCAAAUAAAAUUUGAUAGAAGAGUAAUCCUCAUAUGGAGGUUUAAUUGUACAAAAUUUGGUAAUAUUCUAAGACCAUUUUGAUAUGCAAAUGAUGUCACAAAAUUCGCUCAUCGAAUCUGGAAAACUUUUCGUUUUCUCUUAGCCAAAUGGUCAAAUCUGAUUUGGAGAGUUUUAUUUCGAAAAUUUGGAUGUCAAUGGUCUUUAAAUUGCUCAGUGGAUGUUAUGAACUCUUGGUUUCAAUAAUGGAGAGAUUUGGAACUGAUUUCAUGGUACAAAAAGUUUGUAAAAAGAAAAGUGAGAAGGUAGUUUAGCCUUGCAACUCUUCAUAAACUUUGGUUGUUUUAAUGACUGCCUUACCGUGAGAGUUUUUGUAUGAAACUUGGUAGAAAUGUUGUUCACACAUGGAAGAUUUAGUGUACCAAGUUUGAUGUAUUUCCAAUGCCAACUCGAUGACCAAAUGAUACUUCGAAUCUAGUCUUCAAACCUGGAAAAUAGCCCAACAGUCUUAACUUUUUCAGCAACUUGGAGCUACUAUAUCUUGGUGCUCGAAACUCCGUUUCUCAUUCUGCUUUUUUGUUAUACUCUUGGAUUGCAACACUAAUUGAUUUCCAAAUUUCAAAGGUUAGUUCAAAACAAGUGAAUUUUGCCGAAUUUCCAAAGUUGGCCAAAAACCAACUUAAAUCUGUCUUGGUAAUUCAAGUUACCAACUUUGAGCCAAAAUUUGAGUGCCUUUCACUUACAUUCGUGGAAAAGUGUCUUCUGAGAACUUUUAGUACUUUCAAAGAGAUUUCCAAUGGUACCAAGUUUUCCAAUUUUUGACAUGUAGAAUGUGAGAUACGAUUUUUCAAAAGUAUCGUAUCAAACCUGAAAAUUUUUCCGAAUUCCAAGGGAAGGGAGUUUUCAAAUACUCCUUAUUCCUUUGAUAUUACUUGAACAUUUUAUACUUGAUUUCCAAAAUGAAAACUCGAUUGCUCAUGUACUUUAAGAAACUCCACUUGAAUCUCGAUUUACGAGUAAUUGAGGUUCAUUUUCAUAAGAUUUCCUUAGAUUGCACUAGCGUACAAUCUUCCUCGAUAAAUUAGAGAUUCGUAGUGAUAUUGAGCGGUACUUGAUUAUUGUUUGCUCAGGCACUCGAGGGAAUCUCCAAGAGGAACUCGGAGCGGACACCUAAAACGCUUGUUUGAGAACUCUCGCUUGUUUUGACUAGGUGAGUUUUCCAUAUAGGGAUACGUAAUUGAAUAAGUCUAGGACAUGCUUAUUUCAUGAUUAUUAAGUGUUAAGUAUUAUGUGUUAAGUAUUUACCAUACUCAUGCCUAUUUAAGGAAUGUAUACUUGCAUUGCAUAUCUACAUGAUUGCGUUAAAUGAUUAACCAUAUCAAAUGACCAUAUGAACUCGAUACAUGCUUAACUUGCUAGAUUGCUUGCUUAGCCUACUCGUUUUGAAAAAUGGAGUCGAGUGUGUACUUUAUCGCACUCGUUCUCUUUUGAGAUGAAUAACUCAUGCUUGGAAAUGCUCAAAUAACAUGACUUGGUAUGGCUAUGGUUGCAUACUGCGUUGGAGUGAAUCUCCUCGACUCUCACAUGGUAAAAAUGAGAUAACGGCCAAUGAUGGCCUAUUAAUAUGACAAAUGCCUGUCAAUUAACCGUCACUACUCAACCGUUACCCGUCAGCCAUGAACCGUUUAUCAAAUCACAUGACUACCUGAUUACUUGAUUAUCUGUUUACUCGAUUUCCAAUUUACAUGAAUAUGUAAUAUCCGUGAAUUACAUGCUCCCAUGAAAUCAACUUGUAUUGCUUACGUGCUUACGUGCUAAGUAUCCACUUGAUCACUUGAUUAUCAUGAAUCGCAUGUUAUAUGAAGCUGUCCAUCAUUGUUAGGCGAGUGUGUACUUUACUCACUCGACCUACUCAAAUGAUGAAUUUUACCUUUUGCCGAAUUACUUGAUUACUUGUGCAUGUUGUAAGCUCUAAGCUGAACUGGACCCUGCUCAUGGUUACUAACGCUACUCGAGCCAGGACUAGGCUCGGUCGGGUAGGUUGGAACCUUGGGACACCGUUUCGGUAUACUCGAGUAUUACCACUGGAGGGAUAAGGUGAUGACCAGUCAAACCGAGGGAUCCGGAAGUCAUAAGGUGCAGAUGACCGACAGAGCUCCACUGAACACCGUAUCCUACAGUAUAUGUUUCCUUGUAUCAUGAUAAUUGUUUCAUGCUCAAAUGCCAACAUGAAAUCCUGAGCUAUGCUUGUGAUAUGCUUCAUACCUGUUACCUGUCCAAUGUACUCAUAUCAUUAUACCUGUUUCAUGUUAAUGCUCCAUACCUGUAACAUGCUUAAUUACUCGCACCUGUAAUAAGCUCCAAUCACUCGUGAACUAUACAUGCCAAUGUCUUGAACCAUGAUGACUGUCUCAUGAUAAAUGUCUCAUAGCAUGAUAAAUGUCUCAAAUUACCCGUACAAUGAUUAUCACCUCAUGAUAACAUGCCAUUGUGUAACCUUGAACCAUGCAUAUGAUAUGCCCAACUUACUUGAUUUAUUUGAAUUGUUAGAGUGUCUUGGAACCUCACUGGGUUGUGUAGCUCAUCCCACGUUGUGAUUUUCUUUUACAGGGUUCGAGACCAAGGGUGCUCGUGAGUAGUACUAGAUUGUUUUCUUUUGAAGACUUUAAGUUAUAUUAUAACGGAUGGCUAUUGUACCCUUUUCCGUUGGGUUGUAUUUAAGCUUGAAAGUUGCAUAAUUGUAAGUGUGAGAUAUUUGGAGUACUUUAAUUAUGUAUUGAAGUUACUUAAAGUAUUUCGAGCUUUUGAAUGAUGGAUUGUAGUGAGUCCUGGCGAGAGUUGGGCAGGCGUCCCGCGGAUACCCUUUGGUUCGCCUUAGGGAGAAGUGGGGACAUCACAUUAUUGCCACCCGGAUGGAUUGUAUACUUGGACCGAUGAGCUUCCUCUAAAAUCUCCUUCUUUAACAUUCCAUCUUUGGCACCACCACUCGGUUUCGAUAUCUCAACACACCCUUGGACUAAAGUUGAAGUCGGCCAAUUCCCCUUUUUCCACUUUCUCUCUCCACUUCCGUAUCAUAGAAUCUUCCUUCUGAGCUUUUUUAAUUCGCUCCAGUAGAGUGGACGUUACCUGAAUAUUACUAAAAAUCACUUUUUGACUUCCCAGACAGGGUUUCCACUCACAAACGCGAUUCUAACAGAUCCCACUCCUUAAUCAUUAACCCCGCUACUUGAGCCUUCCGGUUUAAGGCAUCCGCCACCACGUUGGCUUUCGCCGGAUGGUAGUUGAUAGUGCAGUCGUAGUCCUCCAGAAACUCCAUCCACCAUCGCUGCCUCAUAUUCAACUCCUUUUGCGAGAAAAGGUAUCGAAGACUCUUAUGGUCUAAGUAAACCUCGAAGGUUACCCCGUAUAAAUAGUGUCUCCACUUUUUCAAGGCAAAAACAACUGCGGCUAACUCCAAAUCGUGGGUUGGGUAGUUCUGCUCAUUGGGUUUCAAUUUCCUAGAGGGAAAAGAUAUCACAUUCCGAUUUUGCAUCAGCACACACCCCAGACCUUCCCGUGACGCGUCGGUAUAAAUGGUAAAACCGUCUACUCCGUUAGGCAAAGCUAGAAUCGGUGCCAUGAUUAAUCUUUUCUUUAGCUCUCGAAAACUUGCUUCGCACUUGGUAUCCCACAUAAAGCGACCAUAUUUCUUCGUCAGGUCGGUUAAAGGACCGGCCAGUUUGGAAAAGUCUUUAAUGAAAUGCCUAUAGUACCCAGCCAGCCCUAGAAAACUACGAACCUCAGUGGGGUUUUCUGGCCUCUUCUACUCAGUCACGACCUCUACUUUUGCCGGGUCAACCAAGAUACCCUCCAGGGAAAUUACGUGCCCUAAGAACGAAAUUUUCUCCAGCCAAAACUUGCACUUACUAAACUUGGUGUACAAUUGAUGCUCUCUUAGGGUCUGCAAAACGAUUCUUAAGUGCUACUCAUGCUCCUCACGAGUCUUUGAGUAAACCAGAAUGUCAUCAAUAAAGACAACUACAAAUCGAUCCAAAUAGGGCUUAAAGACCCUAUGCAUUAAAUCCAUGAAAGCGGCAGGGGCAUUGGUUAGUCCAAAAGGCAUGACUGCGAAUUCAUAAUGCCCAUAUCUCGAAUUGAAAGUAGUUUUUGGGAUAUCCUCCUUCCUAAUCAACAAUUGGUAGUACCCCUGGCGAAGAUCCAAUUUCGAAAAGACCACUGCUCCUUGCAACUGGUCGAACAAUUCAUCGAUAUGGGGCAGUGGAUACUUAUUUUUAACUGUGACAUUAUUCAACCCCCGAUAAUCUAUACACAUCCGCAAACCCCCAUCUUUUUUCUUCACAAACAACACAGGGGCUCCCUAAGGAGACCCAAUCUCUCGAAUAAACCCUCGCUCCAAAAGAUCUUGUAACUGCAAUUUCAAUUUCUUAAGUUUAGCAGGUGCCAUCCGAUACGGGGUUUUAGAGAUAGGUGACGUUCCCAGUAACAGAUCAAUUUUGAAUUCUAUCUUUCUCUCCGGAGGUAGGGCUACUAACUAAUCAGGAAAUAUGUCUAGAUAUUCCUUCACUACGUGCACAUCCUCUACCUACAAUUUAUCGGUGGGGUAUUGAUUAGAAAGGCUAAAAACCCUUGCGCCCCACUACUUAAUAAUUUCCUAGUUCGAAUACCCGAAAUUAAUGCAGAUGAGGCCAACCUACCCCUUAUAUCCAACCUCAAGGUUGCCUCCCCAGGAAUACGGAAUUCUACCACCUUCUUCUUACAAUCAAGUUGAGCAUUAUACCUGGCUAACCAGUCCAUGCCUAGAAUUACGUCAUACCCUUUAAUGGACAGACUUAUCAAAUCCCUAGCAACUUCCUCUCUCCUAUCCAAACUCCACAAUUCUUAUAAACCAGGCUAGUGAUCAGACGGUGGUCCCCCGUGGGGGUACUGACUUCUAGGUCAUAUGGUAAACUAGCAGGUUUUAUAUCGAUUCCGCACAUAAAAUUGGGGUUAACAAAGGAAUGGGUGGCACCGGGAUCUACCAAGACUUUCGUAAAUCGGUGGAAUACAGGGAUCGUACCUUCUACGACCUCGGAAGAAUCAGGGACCUGUUGUGGCUCUAGUGAGUAUACUCGAGCCGACACCUUGGGUUUAGUCACUUUCCCCUUAGCCGGUCCAGAAUUGGUCCUCGGUGGUUGCUAGCUCCCCCUUCCAUCUCGUUUUAGGACCGGCAAGUGGCAAGUUGGUGGUCUGUACUCCCACAGCGUAGACACUUUCCUUCCUUCCUCCAGCAAUUGUCUCGGUGUGGUUUGACUUCCCACAAUGCCACAGGGACCACGAGAUGCCGAAACUGAGCCCCCUUGGAAAUUUUCUUUUUGGCCUCGCCCAACCUAGCCACCUCUUGACUGAGCCCCUCUCGAUACACCCGCUGCCUUCCACCUCCGGCUCCUCAUCCAAACUUGGGAGGGUGCUCUUAUCUCCCUGCCCAGAGCUACUACCAGGUAAUCCUUGCUUUUUAGAUUGAAAGUUCCUCACUUGGAGCCUGGCACUUUCAACUCGUUGAGCCUUCUCCACGGCCUCACUAAAAAGCGUUAAUUUGGGCCACCGUAAGGUCCUUCUGGAUUUCCACGUUCAGACCCUGGACAAAUCGCCGUAUUCUUCGUUGCUCGGUCAUGAUGAGUUCGGGCGCAAAUUUGGACAGCCGAGUGAAUUGGCUCUCGUACUCGGCCACCGUCUGGGUCCCUUGGCGAAGUCGGAUAAAUUCGUCUUCCUUCCGUUCCUGAACCAAAGAAGGGAAAAACUUGGCGUUGAAUUCCCUCAUGAAAUGUACCCACGUCCUUGGCGUCUGUUCUCCUUCCCACUUUUGCCGAAUGACGUUCCACCAAGAACGGGCCGCCCCUUCCAGUUGAAAGACAGCAAAAGUCACCUACCUUUCCUUCGUGUAGUGCAGCGGCAGCAAAUAUGUCCACCAUCUUUUCUAGCCAUCUUUCGGUCACAUUUGGAUCGGGCCCCCAAUAAACUAUGGUGGGGCAAACUUUUGAAACCUCUCGAGGGCCUUGUCCUCGCUCUCCACAUGGUUACCGGGGUUCCCAGGGUUUGGGGUUAGAGUUUUGACCCUGUUGUUGCACCACUUGGGCUAGCAAGUCAGUCAUUUACUGCAUGGCAGCAGCUAUUUGGACAUUGGGAUCAACCCUAGGUUCUGGGUUUGGUCCAGAUGAGAUUUCCCCAGUGCCCCUUAUAGACGUGGGUUGCCUAUUCCCGCGUCCAUAGCCUCGACCACUACGUGUUCCUUCCAUAGAGUUUAGUCGAUCUAGGGUAAAACGUAAAUAUAACAUUAAAGACAACGGUAAACGUAAGUAAGAAGCCAAGAGAUAUUCACCAUCAACACAUAUAUACAUAUCACAUAUCACACAACAGUAUCAAACGAGUCACACAUUAACAGUCAGUCAAGUACAAACAAAGAAAGUCCAUGAGAGAACGGCAUCAUCAAAAGGUAUAUAUACAAAGCUAGUCCAAACGUACAAAAUGUGAGAACCCGAAAAUUUUCUGAAUUUGUAGGCCUUAUUUUCUUUCUUUGUACCCGUUUUCUACAUUUUUGUUAUUAUAUUAACUUUAGAGAUAUUUUUAUAAGUAAAUACAGUUUUUAAAUUAUUUUUCUAGUAUAAGUUAGUUCGUGAGAUAUUUGAAGUGUAUAGUGGACGUGGGACCCGCUAGUGCGUUAAGUGCGAUUAAUUCGACCAAUUAGGUUAAAUUUUGCAUUAAGGGAUUCAUUUACCAUAUGUUAGGAGAUAAUUGGAGGUUAGCUAGGUUAAUUUGUAAGGAGAGACAAAAGGAUGAGAUCAAGCAUAGGAAUGGACAAGUGUCAAGUAACUAUUGGAGGAUGGACUUUGACCUACUAUUCAUCACCUUUACUAAAUACCAAAAAUUGACCAAAAUCAUCUUCAUUUUCCUAGCAUCUUGGCCGAAUUCUUGAGGAGGAAAAACAAGAAGAAAGCCUUCAACUCCAACUCCAUUUUCUUGCUCAAUCUUGAGGAUUCAACCAACCAAAUCACAAACUACUCCAUAAAAGUUGUUUGUUAAGAAGGAUUAAAGCUUGUAGUGGAGUGAUUCUCGUAGGAGAAACCCUAAGCUAUCAUCUUUCUUCAAGUUUCAAGGUAAAUUCCCUAGAAAUUUCCUUCUACUCUUGAUAAUUGUCAAUUAGUGGUUUGGAGAGGUUAAAUGUGUAGUUUUGUGGCUAAGUUCAUGGUUUUAAGUAGAGGUAUGGUAAAUUUCAGUUUUAUAUUAAAAAAUUCUGCUCACUUGUGAAGCUUAAGGGUUUCUCAUGAUUUAUUAGCUUUGAUAUAUGGAAAAUCUUGUGUCUAGGUGCUAGUUAACUUUGCCUAAAGAAAUUCCAGCUUUGAUGUGUAAAUUUCAGCUUUAGGGUUCCAAUUUUUCCUGUUCUGUCCGGUUUUAUUUGAACAUGUUAGAGGCUGAAUCAAGGCUUAGGUUAAAACAUGAAAGUUGUAGCAAAUGAUGUUAACUAUCUUCUUGAAAAAUUUCAACUCAAUCAGAGCAGGGUAUCAUGUGAAAUGACAAAAUUACCCCUGCUGCCCUGUUUCUGUCAAAAAUGAUAAUCAGCCUCUGUAAGUGGGGUUUGACCAGGAAUAUUACCGAAUUGGUUGUCGAUAUCUUCUUAAGAAUUAUACCCUUGUAUCGUAGCUUUCAAAUGGUUUUGGAAUUACCUGAAUCGGAGUUGUGUGUACUGAGAUAUGAUUGAAUGAAUCAGGACUGGCUAGUUGAAUUUCACAGUGAGCUUCAAACUGGAAUAUCUGGGGCUGUUUGCUAAAUUUAACCUAGUUAGGGUGAGAACUGGACUAAGUAGUGUUCAUCAAAGUUAUAGCCCUAUAUCUCUAGCUUCGAAACGGUAUAACUUUCACUUCAAUCCAAUAAGCGUAGUUUCGGUUAUGUUCGAUACGCUAAGUAGCGAUGAUCUGCCUUUUUGGUUUCUUAGCUUAAUGCUCAUUUCCGGUCAUUUUCCUAGCUAAAUCUUGUACUUGAAUGACUUUGAGCCUAUUGAACGGCUGUUGUGAUGAAUUUAUAUUGUGUAUGACUUUGGGAUUGAUUGAGGAAAAUAAUGAAGCCAUAAGUGGCUGGAAAAUAGGUAAAUACAAAGAGCGUGCUGCCCAAAUUUACACUCAAGGGUUAGGUAAUGAUUUGAAAGCGAAUACCAUAUGAACCAUCUAGGAUAUUUGCGUCCUCUUUUAUCGAGGUAUAUAAGUUCAAAUCUGGCCGAAACUUGUACACUUGGAAAAUGAAAUUUACGACUAAUAGAAAUACGUUUUCUUCAUUUCUUCGACUUGUGAUACCCCGAUUUUUAGGAUAAUGUUUUUGUUUAGUCUCAAAGAGGAUAUUACGGUUUCUUUAUUUUAUUUUUGUUUUAAAACAUUAUUUUAUUUUAAAGACUAGAAACCCUACUUGUACUUUAAAACCCUAGUUUACUUGUGACUAACAGGUUGUGUUUAAAUCCCUCAUAUUUGACUCAAAACCCUAAUUUUAUUCUUUGGAAUUGUAAAAUUCAUCACAUUUUUCUUAAAAUUCCCUUUUAUUUGAAAUACAUUACCUUAUUAUAGCUAUACUACUUAUUUACAUCCUCAAGGGUUAGAAUAAAGAAUAGAAUUAAGAGUUUUACCCUUAGUUUUAUAGUUCGGGUAAAUUAGAGUUUUCACGUAUUUUGGUAAUGUGAUUAAGUGUGGAGGUUUGUGUACUAAAUUUAGUAAUUAAGAGUGAAUUUUAGAUGAGAAAUAAUAUGAGAUUAGAAGUGAGAAUAUUAAGUUAGUGAAUUAUAAGUAAAAAAUCCUAGUACGUGCGAGUUAAGGAAAAACGGGUAGAACCGACGUGCACCGUUUGUUACCGAGUGAGUGCACCACGUGAACACCACUUUAUUACCUUAAUACCCUUGCUAUUAAUUGAGUCAAAUCAGCCUCAAAAUAUCUGAUAAAACAGCCAAAAAGUUGGACAAAAAACAAGAGAGAGAAAAGAAAAUUUUGACCACCAAUCAAAUUGUGACAUGUGUUAAACUUUGACCAAGCCUUUUUCUUGUUUUCUUAUCUUUCCUUGGGCUGCAUUUCUUCUUCAUUUCUGCACAUUUAGCCGUGAGAGUGAGGUGAGAAAAGGAGAGAAAGAAACACUUCAUUCCAUCUUGAUUUCUUGCUCAAUCUUGCAAACUAUCCGAUAGAUUCACCAAAUAAUCCAUGGAAGUUGCUUAGGAAGGUGGAUUGCCAUCUUGGAGUGGAGGGUUUUGGUGGUUCAAGCUUCCCAGAGGCUGUUGUGCUUCUCCAAUCCUAGGUAAGGAAGGUAUCAGUUCAUGGUUGUACUACUUAAUGGUUUACAAGUGAAAGUUAUGGUUUGUUGGGUAGAUCUCAUGGUUUAGUAGUAGAUUUGGUCAAUUCCAGCUUUGUAGUGUAAAAUUUCAGCUUUGGGUUUGAAUGAUUUUCUUCUUAUACUUGCUGUAUGGAUGGUAUAUGAUGUAUAUAAGCUUGUAUAUGAGGUUGUAGUGCUGGUUUCAAGCUUAAAAUGAGAGUUAUACCUUGAAUGGAGCAAAUUUCCAGAAUAUCGGUUUCUUAUGGUUCAGUUCUGCCCGUUUCUGUUUGAGUAUGUUAAAGACCGAACCAGCCUUAUCCCAAAACAUAAAAGUUGUAGAGAAUGACAUUUUAUGGUUUCCUACAAAAUUUCAGCCCAAUCCGACCUCCGUAGCCUGUAAAAAGACCGAAAUACCCCUGCUACCCCUGUUUCUGUCCGAAACUGAUAAUCAGCUUCUGUAAUUGGUUAGUUUGACUGGGAAUACUACUGAUUUGGUUGUCGAUGUAUUCUUAAGAAUUAUAUCCUUGUAUCUUUUCUUUCAAAUGGCUUUGGAAUUACCUGAAUCGGAGUUGUGUGUGCUGAGAUAUGAUUGAAUGAAUCAGGACUGCUAGUUGAAUUUCACAGUGAGCUUCGAACUGAAAAAUCUGGGGUUGUUUUGGUAACUUUGACCUAGUUAGGAUGAGAACUGGACUAAGUAGUUUUCAUCAAAGUUAUAGCCCCCUAUAUUAGCUUCGUAACGGUAUAAAUUUUACCCCAAUCCGAUAAGCGUAGCUCUGGUUGUGUCCGUUACGUAAAACAACGUCAAAUCUGCCUUUUGUUUCCUAACUUAAAAACUUCAUUUCCGCACAUGUUCUUAGUUUGAUUUUGUACUUGUAUGACCUUGAGCCAAUUGGACGGCUAAUGAAAUGAGAUUAUGUUGUGUGUAUAUUUUGGUUGAUUGAGGAAAAGAAUGAAGCCAUAAAUGGCUGGAAAAUAGGUAAAUACAAGGGCGUGCUGCCCAAAUUUAUGCUCGAGAACUAGGUAGAUAUGCUUGCGACUUGAGUAAGGUUUGAGAGCGAAUACCACUUGAACCAUCUAGAAUAUUGCACCUUUUUAUCGAGGUAAAUAAGUUAGAACUUGGUGUAUUGGUGAGUAAGAAGUGCCUGCAAAAUUUCAGGGAAUUUGGAGUAGUAUAGAGAGAGUUAUGCCGUUUUUACUGUUGCUGUUUUUGGUGAACAGAAUGUGCGGAACUGCGAUAGUAAUUGCCUAUUUUGACUGGAUUUGGUUUGGAUUUUGAAGUUGGUGUCUUCUGAUGAAAUGUUACUGGAUGUCUUAGCUAUCAUAUGCCUUUGGAAUUUCGGCAUUUGGACUUGUAUAGACUGAGUUAUAGUAAUUACAGUUUUCUGUGUUUUGCAAACCUGUUUUGGUAAUUCUGGUAUAGUAUUUGGCACUUUCGACCUAGUUAAGCUAGGAACUGGAUUGAGUGCCCUUCUGCAUUGUUGUAGCCCUGUUUCAUAGCUUCGAAUCGGUGGGUCUUACACCCCCAUCCGACAUUUGUAGUGAGAGUUGUGCCAUUACCGCAUUAUGAGGUCAAAUCCGGUUUUCUUAUCAAGGCUUAGGUUAAAGCCCUUUCUUCAUUUCUGGUUUGCUUUCAUGCUGGUAUAUGUUUAUAAAACCCUAUUGGGGUUGUGAAUUGGUGUUGUUUAUGACUCGGUAUGGUUUCUUGUUUUAUGAUAUUGUGAGCCUAUGGAACGGCUCUUGACAUGAAAUGCUUAUCUGUGUGUUGUUGGGUUGUGAUUGAAGAAAAAUAAUGAAGCCUUAAUGGCUGGAAAAGUAAGAAUUUUAGGGGAAGUGCUGCCCGAUUUUCUAGGCCGUUGGUUCCUUUAAGUUGGAUUUGCCUUUUGGUAGAAUGAAAGGCUUUUGGGUUGUUUGCGCCUAAGUCUUCAUGUUACCUUUUUGUUUCCAAGAAAAUCAUGUUUUCCACCCUUGCAUUAGUAAUUAUUUUGGCGAGGCAUACGACUAGUAGUCGAGCCUCAUGUGCAUUGUGUUUACUCGAUUCUGGAAGUAAAACCUUCAAUUGAUUUAUUUUGAUUAUUUUAGGGUUUCUUGGCGAUUAAGGCCAAUCUGAAGUGAAAACUUCUGAAGUUGAGCCGGUGAGUGUACCACUCCCCUCCAUUGCUGUUUAACUUGAUUUCUGCUCUGCAAUCUGUUUAUUUGUUCGAGACGAGGGUGUACUUUAUCACACUCGUUCUCUAGUCUGUUCAUAUGCCAAUUUACUAUGCAAAAUUUGAAUCUGUUAUCUGUGUCUGCAUCUGUUCGGAUUUCUAUGACCUAUGAGCUCAAUCCUGUGGCUAAGUUAUUCGAGUCGGGCCGGCAAGGGCCUGGACGAUUAGAUAACGAACCACGGUAGUCUGUUCGGGGAUUUUUGGGUAUUGAGACCCUUGAUUCCGGUAUACUCGAGUAUUACCAUUUUUUCGUUUGAGGUGAGCGGGCCCGGUAAAGGGGUGUUUGGUGGACGGAAUUCGGUGAUAAGAGGGGUCUACGGACGCAUUGGUUCUAUAUACGUUGACGGAGAGUCAACCGGUUAGGAUCAAGUAUUGCGCUGGAAAUUUGGCUCCUGAGAGCCACCCGUAUCCUUCUGAUUUGAAUCAUUGGUUCCUUUGCUUUACAUCUGACAUGUGUAUCUGAUUUGUUAAAUGUGAAAUGCCAUGAUUUUAAUGCUAUCUGUUUGGUACCUCAUUGAGCGCAAGCUCACCCCGUUCUGUUCCUUUUGUUUUCCUUACAGGAAAAAUAAAUACUUUUGGACUGGAUUUGAUAAUCGGUUGCCGACUUGAGCUAGUUGAACAUAUCUUUUGUAUAGCUCAUGUAUUAAAACCCUAAGUGUACUUUUGGGGCGUUUCUCUUUUGAUUUGGCAAACCGUGUAUAUGUGUUAUCUUUUGAAAGCUUUUUGUAUGUCCUUUUGGAUUGUAAUCGCUAAAGUUCAGAUGUGAAUGUUUGCGUGCUCUUUCGGUUGGGUUUUGACGGAUCGGUUACUAUUCAUGACCGACUCCGGAUUUCAUUUUUUAUUUUGGGUUAUUUUACCAUUUUGACCUGUUUACGCUCGUUUGUAAGUUCCGGAUCGCAAUAGAUAGCUCUAAUUUGAUCCGUAGUCCUGGCGAGAGCUGGGCAGGCAGUCCGCUAACCCCUUUGGUUCGCCUUAGGGGAAAGUGGGGCUGUCACAAUUGGUAUCAGAGCCACUUCGCGUGGUCUCUGCGCGGAGUGAGACUGGGCCAAGUGGUGUUGUGGUCCUAAUUUCAUGAAUAUGUCUAAGUGCUCGUUUGAGCGUAAGUUAUGAACCGGGCAUGUGAUAAGUGUACGAAUCAUUAUCAUAGGACUCGAGGAAGCUAGGUAUGUAUGUCGGGUAGGAAUCUUUAAUAAGGAUGGUUUACUCUUGGGACCGGCCGGCUCGAGUUGUGAAUUAUCUUAGAUGGGAUUCUUGUGCCCGGAUACGGAAGAGAUGAGAGCCUAGGUUAAAAAGGACUUGGGCGAACUAGAAAUGUGAUUCCAUGGAACUUCGCGUGGUCUAUUCGGGUAUUGUUAAGCCUGAUCACUCUUGAUUAAGAUAUAAACGGUGUUGUUAAGCCUGACUCGUCUGAGGACGUAGAAGGUACUUUAGAUUUGAUAGAUUCCGUUGAUAAGAAAAUUUCGAGGGCGAAAUUUCUUUAAGGGGGAGAGAGUGUGAGAACCCGUAACUUUUCCAUUUAUUAGGUUUUAUAAUUUUUCUAGGCUUUCUUAUAGUCAAUGGCUUGUUUCUACACUUUCUGUAUCCGGAAAAUUUUCUAGAUUAUUUUUACGAGUAAAUAUAGUUUUAAGAUGAUUUUUCUAGCAUUGGAGAAAUUUUAGAAAAUUAAGAGUAAAUAGUGGACGUGGGACCCACUAGUGCGAAAAGUUCGGAAAAAUUCGGCCAAUAAGGUUAAGUUUCGGAUACUGUUUAAAAUUUAUCGGGUGUUAAGAGAUUAGUAGAAUGUGUGAAGUGAUUGAUGUGAGAGAGGAAAGAAAGAUAAGAAUGCAUUUAUGGACGUGACAAGUGUCACCUCCUCAUUGGAAGUUUUUUUAAGAAUUACUAUUCCCAAUUUUGACUUUUUUGACCAAAGGAUUAUAUAUCAAAAAAAUGCACAAAAAAUCACCAUUUUUCUUCUCUUGUUGGCCGGCCACCUUGAGCAAGGAAGGAAGAAACUUUCUUCACCAUUCAAGCUUCUACUUGUUGCAAAUCAACCAAAAACAUUGGUUACAUCCAAUUCCAUUCCAUACAAUCUUACCUUCUAGUGCUAGUAAGUUGUUUAUUGAAGCUUGGUUGAAGGUUUAAGGUGUUCAACAACCUCUUCUCUCUUGUUUCUUGGUAAGUGAAGCUUGAACACCCUCUUACACCCUAUGAAGCUUAAAUUAUGCUUAGUAGUGCUUGAAGUGCUGGAAUUUCUGGUUUUAUCUUGGUUUGAAGUGAUUUGGUGAAGUUUUUCAUUUUAUUGAUGAUUUUUCUGGUUUAAUAUGAUCUUGAUGUUGGGUGCUUGUAUGAUGGAUUGUAAUGGUUGGAAAUGACUCUAGUGAGUGUGAAUUGUGGUUAAAUGCAAUCAAUUUUGGAUUUGGUGUGAAAAUUGAAAAGUUAGGGUUCUUAAAUCCCCUAUUCUGUCCGAAAUUUUAGGUCAUAGCUAGAGGCCGAAUUGGACUUUUCUCAAAACAUGAAAGUUGUAGGUAUUGGUGAGUAAGAAGUGCCUGCAAAAUUUCAGGGAAUUUGGAGUAGUAUAGAGAGAGUUAUGCCGUUUUUACUGUUGCUGUUUUUGGUGAACAGAAUGUGCGGAACUGCGGUAGUAAUUGCCUAUUUUGACUGGAUUUGGUUUGGAUUUUGAAGUUGGUGUCUUCUGAUGAAAUGUUACUGGAUGUCUUAGCUAUCAUAUGCCUUUGGAAUUUCGGUAUUUGGACUUGUAUAGACUGAGUUAUAGUAAUUACAGUUUUCUGUGUUUUGCAAACCUGUUUUGGUAAUUCUGGUAUAGUAUUUGGCACUUUCGACCUAGUUAAGCUAGGAACUGGAUUGAGUGCCCUUCUGCAUUGUUGUAGCCCUGUUUCAUAGCUUCGAAUCGGUGGAUCUUACACCCCCAUCCGACAUUUGUAGUGAGAGUUGUGCCAUUACCGCAUUAUGAGGUCAAAUCCGGUUUUCUUAUCAAGGCUUAGGUUAAAGCCCUUUCUUAAUUUCUGGUUUGCUUUCAUGCUGGUAUAUGUUUAUAAAACCCUAUUGGGGUUGUGAAUUGGUGUUGUUUAUGGCUCGGUAUGGUUUCUUGUUUUAUGAUAUUGUGAGCCUAUGGAAUGGCUCUUGACAUGAAAUGCUUAUCUGUGUGUUGUUGGGUUGUGAUUGAAGAAAAAUAAUGAAGCCUUAAUGGCUGGAAAAGUAAGAAUUUUAGGGGAAGUGCUGCCCGAUUUUCUAGGCCGUUGGUUCCUUUAAGUUGGAUUUGCCUUUUGGUAGAAUGAAAGGCUUUUGGGUUGUUUGCGCCUAAAUCUUCAUGUUACCUUUUUGUUUCCAAGAAAAUCAUGUUUUCCACCUUUGCAUUAGUAAUUAUUUUGGCGAGGCAUACGACUAGUAGUCGAGCCUCAUGUGCAUUGUGUUUACUCGAUUCUGGAAGUAAAACCUUCAAUUGAUUUAUUUUGAUUAUUUAGGGUUUCUUGGCGAUUAAGGCCAAUCUGAAGUGAAAACUUUUGAAGUUGAGCCGGUGAGUGUACCACUCCCCUCCAUUGCUAUUUAACUUGAUUUCUGCUCUGCAAUCUGUUUAUUUGUUCGAGACGAGGGUGUACUUUAUCACACUCGUUCUCUAGUCUGUCAUAUGCCAAUUUACUAUGCAAAAUUUGAAUCUGUUAUCUGUGUCUGCAUCUGUUCGGAUUUCUGUUCGGAUUUCUAUGACCUAUGAGCUCAAUCCUGUGGCUAAGUUAUUCGAGUCGGGCCGGCAAGGGCCUGGACGAUUAGAUAACGAACCACGUAGUCUGUUCGGGGAUUUUGGGUAUUGAGACCCUUGAUUCCGGGUAUACUCGAGUAUUACCAUUUUUGUUCGUUUGAGGUGAGCGGGCCCGGUAAAGGGGUGUUUGGUGGACGGAAUUCGGUGAUAAGAGGGGUCUACGGACGCAUUGGUUCUAUAUACGUUGACGGAGAGUCAACCGGUUAGGAUCAAGUAUUGCGCUGGAAAUUUGGCUCCUGAGAGCCACCCGUAUCCUUCUGAUUUGAAUCAUUGGUUUCCUUUGCUUUACAUCUGACAUGUGUAUCUGAUUUGUUAAAUGUGAAAUGCCAUGAUUUUAAUGCUAUCUGUUUGGUACCUCAUUGAGCGCAAGCUCACCCCGUUCUGUUCCUUUUGUUUUCCUUACAGGAAAAAUAAAUACUUUUGGACUGGAUUUGAUAAUCGGUUGCCGACUUGAGCUAGUUGAACAUAUCUUUUGUAUAGCUCAUGUAUUAAAACCCUAAGUGUACUUUUGGGGCGUUUCUCUUUUGAUUUGGCAAACCGUGUAUAUGUGUUAUCUUUUGAAAGCUUUUGUAUGUCCUUUUGGAUUGUAAUCGCUAAAGUUCAGAUGUGAAUGUUUACGGAUCGGUUACUAUUCAUGACCGACUCCGGAUUUCAUUUUUUUAUUUUGGGUUAUUUUACCAUUUUGACCUGUUUACGCUCGUUUGUAAGUUCCGGAUCGCAAUAGAUAGCUCUAAUUUGAUCCGUAGUCCUGGCGAGAGCUGGGCAGGCAGUCCGCUAACCCCUUUGGUUCGCCUUAGGGGAAAGUGGGGCUGUCACACUAUGAACGCCCACCCUUGUCUUGAUGGCUGAUGUGAUGAUUGAUGAUGAAUUUAAUGUUGGUUUAGUGCUCAAAAUGGUAGAUUAAUGGUGUAUUAUUAGUAUGAACUUCAAGAGAUGCAUGGGGUAAAAGUUCCGAUUCUGCCCCUGCUUUGAACGUACCUAUUUCUGCGGAAUUUUUGAGGUUCUAAUGACUUGUUUAUGAUGUAUACAUGUUAUAUGAGUUGUGUAGAAAGUUUCAUUGAAAAAUAACAUGAUUUGGUUGGUCAAAUGAGUUGAUUUCCAAAGUUAGCAAAACUGGAAAAUGAAUCCCGUAUUGACCAGGCAGUCAUUUUGUAUCGGCCAUAACUCUUUGCUAUAAUGUCGAAAUUAAGUGUCGUUUGUGGCACUGGAAACUAGACAUUCCCAGCUUUCCAUUGGUAUAAAAUACAUGACCUAGUUCCACUCGAGUGAGCCACACCAUUCGUUUGAAAAUCACUGCCCUGUUUCGUUGCUCUCCAGGAGACAGGACAGAAAUUACGUCUUGAUGCUCAAAAACGAGCUGUUUGUGGAUAGAAUUUGAAAAUGGUUUCUUCUGAGAAAAUUCAGAUUUAUGAGAGAUAUUUCCAACGCCAUCAACCACGCCCAAUUCCAAGUUGAAUUGAGUGAGUUGUGGCCAAAGUUUGAAACUGCUACAGUGAUAGAAUUUUCCACUUGGACAGAUUUGUAACUAACAAUGAUUUGGGACUUGUUGUUUUGGAAUCUUUGAUGUCCAACAUCUACCAAACUUUAUAUUAGAUGUUCCUUGGACUUUGUUUCACAAAUAAACCAGAUUUGGGUUGGUUGCUUUGGACAAAAUGUUUAAAAAGGAAAGAAGAGCUAGAAGACAGUUUUACCUUGGGAAAUUUCUUGAACUUUGAUGGUUUAGUUAACUACCUUCCCGUGUGAAUUUUGAAAUAAAAUUUGAUAGAAGAGUAAUCCUCAUAUGCAGGUUUAAUUGUGAAAUAUUUGGUAAUAUUCUAAGACCAUUUUGAUAUGCAAAUGAUGUCACAAAAUUCGCUCAUCGAAUCUGGAAAACUUUUCGUUUUCUCUUAGCCAAAUGGUCAAAUCUGAUUUGGAGAGUUUUAUUUCGAAAAUUUGGAUGUCAAUGGUCUUUAAAUUGCUCAGUGGAUAUUAUGAACUCUUGGUUUCAAUAAUGGAGAGAUUUGGAACUGAUUUCAUGCUACAAAAGUUUGUAAACAAAAGAAAAGUGAGAAGGUAGUUUAGCCUUGCAACUUUUCAUAAACUUUGGUUGUUUUAAUGACUGCCUUACCGUGAGAGUUUUUGUAUGAAACUUGGUAGAAAUGUUGUUCACACAUGGAAGAUUUAGUGUACCAAGUUUGAUGUAUUUCCAAUGCCAACUCGAUGACCAAAUGAUACUUCGAAUCUAGUCUUCAAACCUUGAAAAUAGCCCAACAGUCUUAACUUUUUCAACAACUUGGAGCUACUAUAUCUUGGUGCUCGAAACUCCGUUUCUCAUUCUGCUUGUUUUGUUAUACUCUUGGAUUGCAACACUAAUUGAUUUCCAAAUUUCAAAGGUUAGUUCAAAACAAGUGAAUUUUUCCGAAUUUCCAAAGUUGGCCAAAAACCAACUUAAAUCUGUCUUGGUAAUUCAAGUUACCAACUUUGAGCCAAAAUUUGAGUGCCUUUCACUUACAUUCGUGGAAAAGUGUCUUCUGAGAACUUUUAGUACUUUCAAAGAGAUUUGUAAUGGUACCAAGUUUUCCCAUUUUUGACAUGUAGAAUGUGAGAUACGAUUUUUCAAAGUAUUGAAUCAAACCUGAAAAUUUUCCGAAUUCCAAGGGAAGGGAGUUUUCAAAUAUUCCUUAUUCCUUCGAUAUUACUUGAACAUUUUAUACUUGAUUUCCAAAAUGAAAACUCGAUUGCUCAUGUCCUUUAAGAAACUCCACUUGAACCUUGAUUUACGAGUAAUUGAGGUUCAUUUUCAUAAGAUUUCCUUAGAUUGCACUAGCGUACAAUCUUCCUCGAUAAUUAGAGAUUCGUAGUGAUAUUGAGCGGUACUUGAUUAUUGUUUGCUCAGGCACUCGAGGGAAUCUCCAAGAGGAACUCGGAGCGGACACCUAAAAUGCUUGUUUGAGAACUACUCGCUUGUUUUGACUAGGUGAGUGUUCCAUAUAGGGAUACGUAAUUGAAUAAGUCUAGGACAUGCUUAUUUCAUGAUUAUUAAGUGUUAAGUAUUAUGUGUUCAGUAUUUACCAUACUCAUGCCUAUUUAAGGAAUGUAUACUUGCAUUGCAUAUCUACAUGAAUUGGUUAAAUGAUUAACCAUAUCAAAUGACCAUAUGAACUCGAUACAUGCUUAACUUGCUAGAUUGCUUGCUUAGCCUACUCGGUUUUGAAAAAUGGAGUCGAGUGUGUACUUUAUCGCACUCGUUCUCUUUUGAGAUGAAUAACUCAUGCUUGGAAAUGCUCAAAUAACAUGACUCGGUUUGCUAUGGUUGCAUACGUCAUUGGAGUGAAUCUCCUCGACUCUCACAUGGUAAAAAUGGGAUAACGGCCAAUGAUGGCCUAUUAAUAUGACAAAUGCCUGUCAAUUAACCGUCACUACUCAACCGUUACCCAUCAGCCGUGAACCGUUUAUCAAAUCACAUGACUACCUGAUUACUUGAUUAUCUGUUUACUCGAUUUCCAAUUUACAUGAAUAUGUAAUAUCCGUGAAUUACAUGCUCCCAUGAAAUCAACUUGUAUUGCUUACGUGCUUACGUGCUAAGUAUCCACUUGGUCACUUGAUUAUCAUGAAUCGCAUGUUAUAUGAAGCUGUCCAUCAUUGUUAGGCAAGUGUGUACUUUACCUCACUCGACCUACUCAAAUGAUGAAUUUUACCUUUUGCCGAAUUACUUGAUUACAUGUGCAUGUUGUAAGCUCUAAGCUGAACUGGGCCCUGCUCAUGGUUACUAACCUACUCGAGCCAGGACUAGGCUCGGUCGGGUAGGUUGGAACGUUGGGACACCGUUUCGGUAUACUCGAGUAUUACCACUGGAGGGAUAAGGUGAUGGCCAGUCAAACCGAGGGGAUCUGGAAGUCAUAAGGUGCAGAUGACCGACAGAGUUCCAUGGGAACACCGUAUCCUACAGUAUAUGUUUACCUUGUAUCAUGAUAAUUGUUUCAUGCUAAAAUGCCAACAUGAAAUCCUGAGCUAUGCUUGUGAUAUGCUCCAUACCUGUUACCUGUCCAAUGUACUCAUAUCAUGAUACCUGUUUCAUGUUAAUGCUCCAUACCUGUAACAUGCUUAAUUACUCGCACCUGUAAUAAGCUCCAAUCACUCGUGAACUAUACAUGCCAAUGUCUUGAACCAUGAUGACUGUCUCAUAGCAUGAUAAAUGUCUCAAAUUACCCGUACAAUGAUUAUCACCUCAUGAUAACAUGCCAUUGUGUAACCUUGAACCAUGCAUAUGAUAUGCCCAACUUACUUGAUUUAUUUGAACUAUUAGAGUGUCUUGGAACCUCACUGGGCUGUGUAGCUCAUCCCACGUUGUGGUUUUCUUUUACAGGGUUCGAGACCAAGGGUGCUCAUGAGUAGUACUAGAUUGUUUUCUUUUGAAAACUUUAAAUUAUAUUAUAAUGGAUGGCUAUUGUACCCUUUUCCCUUGGGUUGUAUUUAAGCUUGAAAGCUGCAUAAUUGUAAGUGUGAGAUAUUUGGAGUACUUUAAUUAUGUAUUGAAGUUACUUAAAGUAUUUCGAGCUUUUGAAUGAUGGAUUGUAGUGAGUCUUGGCGAGAGCUGGGCAGGCGUCCCGCGGAUACCCUUUGGUUCGCCUUAGGGAGAAGUGGGGGCGUCACAGUUGGUAUCAGAGCUUAGGUUUCAGAUCUUUGUAGUGUAUCCUAGGCUUAAAUGUUUAGGAUGCCGGACUGUGGGACUGGUCUGAAAGUUAAAUGAUUGCUUGUAGCGAUGAAAUUUAGAGCCACUUCACGUGGUCUCUACAAAAGAGCAAGAUGGGGCCAAGUGGUGUUAUGGUCCUUACUAUGUGACUGAGUAAAGGCUUAAGUGCCUUUCUAGAAAUGUAAGCUGUGAAUCAUGAAUGUUAUAGGUUGUAAAACCUUUAUCUUGAUAUUUGGAGGGAAUUUGAUAUGUAUGUUGGGUAGGAAUCUCGAAUGUGAUGAUUUACUCUUGGGACCGGCCGGCUCGAGUUGUGAAUUACCUUAUUUCGGAUUCUUGUACCCGAGUACUUGAGGGUGGAAAUCAACCAUAAGGACUUUAUAUCUCCAUUUGUGGGGAAUAGGAAUGAAUUGAUAUUUCAUGAGAAUGGUUACAGGAAACCGCUAAUUGUUUGGUUAAGAUGGUACAAUAAUUAAGAGUGGAAGAUGGAAAAUAUCGUAACCCAAAAGAUCCUUGUGUUGGGAUUCAAAUCGAGCAUGUUAGGGAACGAGAAUCGUCUAGUUCCAAUUAAUCUAGUGAAUCUCUACUUGUGAUCUUUCAUAGUGAGACAAUGGGAGUAGAACUUAAGAGUUUGCGCCUUGGAGAUGAAUGUACUUGUGAUAAUCACUCGUUUAUUUUUGUUAUUGACUUUGACUUGGCAUGAACUUUACUUGGCCAUAACUUGUUUUAUGAUUUAAUGAACUCUAGUUUGUGUUUACUUGCAUAGUGAUAAUGAUAUUUGUAUAUGUGAUUUCUUUUCCUUUAAAGGUUGUUACUGGCAUAUGUGUGUAGUUCGACUAUGGUUUAGUGUGAGAUUUAUACAUAUAUGUAUAGACUAGCUGUGAAUAUGGAAACUAGAGGACAACGAAAGGGACAUCAACCUAGACAACCCCGAAAUGAAAGAGUAGAUUGUAGACACCAAAUUUUUAAAUAAUUUUUAUUUUUUGUUUUUGGUGAUAAUUCUUGUCUAUAUUUUAUUUGUUCAUUUCAUGAUUUUGGUUUUAGACUUUUAGCAUUUGUAUAGCAUUUUAGAUUAUUAUUAUUAUCUAUGAUUUUAUUUUAGUUUAUUUUUAUUUUUUGCAUUCGUUUUUGUCCGUUUAGCUAUUUAUUUUUUUUAUUGUUAAGACUUUUAGCAUAAAAUUUGUCAAAAGAGAAAAUUAUUCACAAAAAAAUAUAUAUAAAAUAUGUUUUAUUUCUUUUUUUACUGUUUAAUUAAUUGAAAAAAAGGAAAAAAAAAGAAGAGAAAAAAGGAGAGCUCAUGCAUGCGUGAGCUGCACAUGACCCAAGCUCUCAGCUUAGAAACCAUGCGCGAAAAUGCAGCUUUGUCCCAUUUUAUUUUCCACCAUUUGUUCCACUAUUUUUUCUCACCAUCGGAUCUUUCUCGUACCCUUCCAUCUGGCCUUCAUCUAAGAGGCUCAAGUUCAUGUGAAGAAAGCGCCAUCUGAUGGCUUAGAACCCGUAAAAAGAAAAAGACAGCAAGCUGGCCAUUGGAUGUUAGGGCUAAGAGGUCUUUGUAACUAUAAAAGGAAAGAAGGAGUGCGUGAGGAGAGGAGGCUAAUGACGGCUGAGGGAGAGUUUGAGUAGAAUUUGGGAGGGCGGCUAGGUUUUAGGAAAAGAGAGCUGGGGAGAAAACUAGAAAAAAGUCAGAAAGAACGAGAAAGAGAGGAGAUUGAGAGAGGUUAUCGGCUGGGGAAAGAAAUCAGAGCGUCGGGGAAGAAAAAACUGAGCAAGGGAGGAACGAAAAGAAAGAAGCUACGGGGGGAAGAAGCCAGAAGAAGGGGGAAAUGAAAGACAAAGGAAAACCGAGAGAGUGAGGAGAAUCAAGAGAGUUGCAGGCUGAGGAAGUCAGGAAAAGAAGAUCAGGAGGGAACGUGAGGAGAAGCAAGAAAGGGUUCACUGGUUUUCUCCAUAGAUCCACGGCUUCUAUCGUUUCUUCAGGUUUAUCUGUAAGUUCACCUAAUUCUAGACUUUAUUUGAAGCCUAUGGAUGAAAUUUUGUUGGUUUUUCUCUCCAUAAAGCUGUUGAGAAAGCUAUGAGCCGUGAAUAUUGUGUUUUGUUUGUUUCUUGUCUUUUUCCUGUUUCUGUUGUCAAAGGAAGAAGGAUAACGCAGGAAAAGUUUGAACCUUUGCACAUAAAAAUCUGCUGCAACAAGCUUAAAGCUUUCGGCUUGUUGCAGCAGCGUGGACAGACUUUUUCUCUCUUUGGUUGCUGAAUUUUUUUUUGGUUUGUUUGAAGUGCUUGGUUUGCUUGUUAUUUGAUUGGAGUAUCAUGUGCAUGCUUGCCGUGGGUUCCUUCCUUUGCAUCUUUCCUGCAUUUUUCAUAGCUAGUUGCACUUUUGAAUAUGUUGGAAAAGCGUAGAAUAAUUUUUUGCUGCAACAAGCUUGUAGCUUUCGUUUUGUCGCAGCAAUUUUGACACAAAAAAUAUGAUCUUUGGGUUACCAAGCUUCUGGAAUGACUUGAAAUCUCUUUGAGUUUUGCUUAUUGCUUAAUGGUAGUUGGGUUCGAAGUUAUGUUUGCAGUCUUUGCAAUCUUCCUGGGUGGGUGAUAGACGGCAAAGUUGCAGAGAAAAUGCGUGCCGCAAGUUUCUUCCUUUUUUUUUUCUCAGUUUUUGCUGCAAUUUUUCGCACCUGAUGCAGCCGUGACUUGUUUUUUUUUUUUUAAAAAAAGAAACUCUUAAUGGUUCUCACCAGAGUCUGAGCUCCCGUUUGGCUGAUUCUGGUUUUAAUUAUGUAUUACCUUCGGUCAUACAUGGCUGUUUUCCCAGUCUCUUGUGCCUUUAGUUUUUUUUUCUCACAUUGUAUGAUUCUAUCCCUGAAGUUUAGUUUACCAAGGUUGGGGAAUGUGGUUUACGUUCUUGUUGCCCCUAUCAAAAUGGUAUGGUGUAGUUCUCUUGGUUUCCUUCUUGUGUGGCAGCUUUGCAUGAUGUGUAGACACCAAAUUUUUGGUGUAAUUUCAUUUUUAGUUUUUUAUUUGUCGUGUUCGUUUUAUUCGAUUUUAGUUUUUUUUAUUUUUAAGUUUUUAGCAUAGAAUUUCUUGAAAGUGGAAAAAGGAAAAUUUGUUCACAAAAAUAUGUUUAUUUUUUUUAAAUUCAAUCUUUGGGCACAUUAGUUAUUUUUAUUAAGUUAUUUUGAGAAAAAGAAAAUGAUGAAAAAUACAAAAUUAAAAAUUAAAAAUGACCAUUGUUGUUAGUUUUGUUUAAAAUUAUUUUUUGUUUGUUUUGUUAUUAUUAUUAUUGCCUGGUUUAUGUAUUUUUGUUAUUUAUUUUUUUAUUUCAUCUUUUUCUGUAAUUCUGAAAAAAAAAAACAAAAAAAAAAGCUUGUCGCGGCAUGCACGCUGCAAUUUUUUGCAGCGUGCAAAGGACACUCACAGCAGACAAUUGGAGGGCUGGAUCUUACAGGGGUAACAAGCCCCUCAUCCUCAUCGUUGAGAUAAGGGUUUAGGAGAAUCGGGAAGUAGAUAUAAAAGGGAAGAAAGGUAGCCGCAACAGAGGUUUUUUUUAGGGGGAUAAAGGAUUGACGGCUGAAAACUGGGCAGAGGGCUACGAAGAGAGAGUGAGGGAUCAACGGGGAGGUUUAGAAGGCAACAAAAGAAAGAAAAAGGAGAGAGCUUUGACGGUUGAAGGCUGGGAAGAAAGAAACCAAAGGAAAGGUGACGGUUGAACAAAUCAGAGAAGAGGACGGUCGGACAAAGGAAGCAGAGCAUCCCAGUGACGACGGAAAACCAAAAAACCAGCAAAGGAAACCACCAGAGCAAGAGGAAAGACCGAAGCUUUCACUUUCUCUCCAUCAAUCAAAAAAGAAAGAAUUUCAGGUAUCUUCCUAAAACUGGUUUCCUUAGCCUUUCCAAGUUCUUUCGUGACUGAGUUGGAAUCUUGCCUUUGGUUUUCUGUUUUGUUAUUUUUUGUCGUUGUCUCUACCUGCUUCAAUCUGGCCUGCGGAGUGUGUAUCUCCAAAUUUUGUUAGGCAGUGAGUUUGAACUCUAGAGUUUUGUGGGUUUGUUGAUUCAUUGGGUUUAUUACAUCGGAUAAAAGCUGCUGAAAAUAGCCAAAGUUUGCAUCUUUUGCUUCUGGAUUUUUGGGGGGGGGAAACACAAAGAGUCGCAGCACCAGAAACCAGCAAGUAAUCAAAUAAGUUCUUUGAAAACUACAUAUUUUGUUGCGAAGCUCCUUGUGCAAAAAGCUGUCAAAAUUUUCUGGUCAUACGCCUUGUUCUUUCUUACUUUCUUUGCCUAGAUCAGUUUAGUUGAUCGAUGAAUGAAGGUUAUGUGAGUUUGAGGGUGGUGAUAUUGCAAGUCUGAUUAGAUUUCCUGCACGGACACAGUUGCACGAUAUAAGCUGCAGAAUUGCGGCAACAAAUUUGAGAUUGUGGCUUUUCUCUGUUUUGACUUUUUUCGUUUAGCAUGAUUAGCUGCUGUAUGUGAUGUCGGUCUUAUGGAAACUAAUCAAUAUUGAGCUGGGAAUUUGUUUGAGCUGUUUGGGUAAUUGAUGAGAGGUUUUGGCAGAUAUUUAGCAACCAGAAAUGCAGCAGGCUUUACAUUCGGCAUGCUGAAAUCUUUUGAGUGUUUAAAUUACUUAGUCUGUUUGUUAUUUGAAUUUUUUUUGGAGAAGUGUUUAGGUGAAAGGUUUGGUUAAAGAAGGUGUGCUGAAGUCCCAAGUUUAUGUUCGAAACCUGUUUUUUUUUUUAUUUUGAAAGAAAGUUAUGGGCAGAUUUUCUGUUUUGCCGAAAUUGAAAGAGGUUUGCGCAUGAAAAUUUUCCAGCACUUAUAUAAUCACUUGCCAAGUUUUUUGUUUUAGUCUAUUUUUAGAUGUUGAAGUUAUGUACUUGGUGGUUUAGUUUAGAGUUUUGGUUUUGUUUGAGAAAGUUUGAUCAAAAGUUGCCUGGGGACAUGAAUUUGCAAACAGAAAGUGCAGUAAUUGCUUGUUUCUUGUUGAAGAAUGUUAUCUUACGUUAGUCUGCAUGCAUGCAAAAUAAUUCUGAAAAUUGCACUUUGACCCCUUGGUUUCUAACUAAUGCCGCUAUGACCCAACCAAUUGAAUAAUUUCUUCAAUCUGGUCCUUGGAGGUUUUAACUCUACAACUUCAUGGCUUGUUUUGUUUCAAUUAACUACCAUGCUUUGUUUAAAUUGCACUUCAUGCAUGAAUUUAAGAGCUUUAUGACCAUGUGAGCUUGUGUUUGCCUAUUUUUUUAAUUUUUGGCAAAUAAAUUGGUACCUUGACCAUUUCUUUUAUUUUGGAGGAUAAAUAAGUGAUUUUACUUCAUUGGGGCCCAAUUUCAAGGGAGGUACACUCUAUCCCUCAUUUGCACUACAUUUGACCUUACGUGCUCCUACGUGUUAUGUGAAUAUGCAUGUCUACGUUGCUUUCCUUACCUCCUUGCGUGCAUUUACUUACUUUUACUUUUAUUUAAGUUUUAUGGGGUAUGUGUACACCUCUUGGCUUGUAAUAGAUAGGGCUCGGAGAACAUCUGGUCCACUUCCCCCUUCCCCUUGGUCGCUUGUUCUUGUUGCUACAUGUUUAAUUGCUUUAUUAGGCUCUUGCAUCUAGUCGAGCAUGCUAAGUGUUAUGUGCUACGUGUUUAUAAGUGUUGGACAUGUCUACUCGCUUUCCAUAGUGUGGAUGAAUGGAAUGGAUGAAUGUACGUCACCACACUAGUCCAACGCUAGUUGUGGCUUCUUUUAUUGUUUCCACUAGUCUAAUGCUAGUAGGAAUUCAUAGAAAGGGCUAGUCCAACGCUAGACCCAAUAGGAUAUUUCCUUUGUUUUUCAUUAAUGCAUUAUUUGCCUGUUCACUACAUAUCAUGCAUUUUUCCUUAGUUUUAUCAUCUGGCAUGCUCCUCGAUUCCGCUUUCCCCUCACUUUAGGUCUUGCAUCUCAUGCUAGUUAGGGUACAUUUGCCUGAAGAGUCCCCUUCUGAUAAGGGAAACGAGCGAGUGUGGCUACUCGAUAGCCUUAGCACGCUAGUUCCCCCUUCUAUCAAAGGGAAGAUUAAGUCACAAAGUUAGGACUCCCCGUUCCCGUCUUGAUGCAUUCCUAUAGGAUUCAUGCAUUCUAUUCAUUCACUAUCACAUACACUUACUUUAUAUUCUAACCCUUUUUCCACAUUCUCACUUCACACUACUUUUGGACGUUUUCACUUAACUACUCACACCUUACACUUUUAUUUGCACACGUGCACCUUUAUAUCCCUUCACUUGCACACGAACACUUUUUAUCUUCAUUUGCACACCUCCACUUACAUCCUAUUAUUUUUAUCAUUUUUCUCAUUUCACACAAACUCACACUUUCACAUGGCAUGCAUUCCACUCAUUUUACGUCAUUUAGGAUUACGUGUGACCUCUCCAAAGGAUCAUUAUUGGGCUUCACAAUUAAUGUGAUUGGCACCACUCAACCUUUGAAGAGAAAUUUCCCCCAUGUCCCCCUAGGUCUAGGUUUUUGCAUUCAUA
rnacentral:lncRNA from 1 species